CAGCAGCAUGUGGAGACAACGUGCAGAAGAAACAAGCAGAGAAGAAUGCAGCUUGCAUAAUCAACCCAGCAUAAGGAGUCUGAGUUAAAGAACUAGAGAAGCUGCCACAUCUGCUUGGAGAACAAAUAAGGAAUUGAGCCUGCACAAUCAACUCGAGAGCAGAAGGAGUCUGAGUUGAAGAACUCAAGAAGCUUCAACAACAUCGCCAAAGAGCAAAGCUUUGCCGUACAAUUCCAAUCCAGUUCAAGAUCAAAGCUGUGGAAAGGCAACAAGAUCAUCUACCUCCAUAACCAGAUUUGCGUUCCUAAACUCUACUCUUCUUGUUUUUACCUUGCUAUACUUGUCAUGUUUGAUUAGUUGUGUUGUUUAUUUGUUUAAGUAUAAAUCUAUGUUUGAAACAUUGAGGACAAUGUUUGGUUUAAGUGUGGGGGGGUAAACGGGUUUUAUUCACCUAUCACUUACAAUGUUGUUUUUCACUGUUUUUAAGUGUUUUUAAGCUGUUUUGAAGUGUUUUAGUUUGUUUUGAUAUAAAAAUCCGAAAAUCUCAUAAAAAUUUGAAAAACCUAAAAAGAGUUGUUUUUGUAUGAUUAUUUGUGUCUUAGGGUACCUUCCAACACAAUGAUGAGGAUUUGGUUUUUAAGUGCAUGGCUGUUAAAGAAAGUUACAAACAUGGAUGGAAGUUUGAUAUGCUCUUUGGUGUAUGCUUGGUUGUGGUUAUAAUUUAUGAAUUCACAUGCAAUCAUAAAAGAAAAAUCAGUUUUGUAACAUGCUUGAAGGAAGGAACUCAAAUUAACGCUACAACCUUGUGAGAUUUGAGCCUAAAACGUUAUUUGGAGAGUUAAAAUCUGUGCAUUAUUGUUUUCUAAAGUCGUUGCAUGAUCUCAUUUUUCUUUGCUUGGUUACUACUUAGAAGGCGUUUCAUCAUUUAGUUCCAAAUGCUAGAACUCAUGCCCAUUUCAUUCAAAGCAUGAUAUUGAUUUGCAUAACACAUAUUCAAGAUGAAGUUAUGUAGUUACCACCACCAAAGCCAAAUUGCCAUGUAUCCUACUUCAUUAUAUGUUUAAGUUAACCCCAUUGAGCCUUGUUAGCCUACGUUCUUUGUUAACCCACGUUAUCCUCACCUAGCCUAGAUUAGGACCAUCCAUACCUUUGUUCUUAAUGCAUAGUAAAGCAUGAUUCAAAUUGAAUUCCUUUUGAUUAUGUAUGGCAGAAAAUAAGUGUGGGGGAAUUUGUUUCUCAUGUAAGUAGUGUGCCAUAGGCACGGGUGGAAAGAAAGAAAAAAAAAGAAAAGUGUGAAAAGUAUGAAAAAAAAAAGAGUUGAAAAGAUGUGAAAAAGAGUCCUAAAGUAUUGUUUGUUGAAGAAGGGGUCCAAAACUUUGAAUUCGGCCCUAAUUAUUGCUUGAAUCUUCCCGUCGUGUUUAAAAGUUGAUUUCUGCAAUCUAAGUGAAUUCUAAGUUUCAAGUUCAUUACUCUGCUUGCUAUUGCUUUAAGAACGUUUGUUAUCCCUAUCCUUCAUUUGUUAGCCAACACCCCAAGCAUGUUACAACCUUUGACUUCAAUCUUGAGUGUUAUGUGUUUCAAUUUGUGGAGUUUGAAUUUGGUAUGAGUAUAUGGUGUCACUGGUUCUCGCAUCUAAGUAGUAGCAUUCCAUUCAUGAGAUCAUAUCUAAACAUGCUUAUUAACUCUAGAAAUUGCUUUCUUUGUGAUACAUAUAUGUGAGCGUUUGUUUUCAUAUCUACAUCAAUCUUCUCACAUAUAACUAAUAUAGGGUGUGUAGUUAGAAAAUCUGAGUGAAAAUUGAGUGAAUAUCUUGUAAGGACUUGAGCAAAUUCUCUAAGGCAUGUUACUACAUUCAAAAUCAUAUUUUAAUUGGUUAAAUGUGAACUAGUACGUGGUGACUAUGAUUAAGUAUGUGCUUAAGUGUGAAGAUGACUUAAAUCUGUGGGGAUAAUGAUUUUUAACAUGUCAUGUGCGUUGGAAAUCCCUAAGGCAAACGUUGGAAGGUUUAGGUUGUGUUUUGUUUUCUUUAUUUUGCUCGAGGACUAGCAAAAGCUAAGUGUGGGGGUAUUUGAUAAGCUCAUAUUUAUAUAUAUUUUACAUAAAAUUCACUUGUCUUUUCUUAGUUAGUUCCUUAUAUUUUUGAGCUAUUUACUAUGUUUUUGAGUUUUGUGUGAUUUAUCAAGCAAAGAAAAGAAAAGUAGCACAAGUGAAUUAUUAAGUAACAAAUUCGUCAAAACUGCCUGUGCAGAUUAUCUGACUUUGGAAGCAUGUUACAAACAGCUCAGAAUGAAUAGGAGAAUGAGCCUUAUAUGCGUGGAAAGCUACGGAUGUCUAUUUUCUGGAGCAAUUUAUGGAUUGUUAAUCUCAUUUUUCUAGAAGAAGUUAUGGGCAUUGUAACACUGAAAUGUCAGAAAAGGGCUAAGCAGAUUUGGCUAAUAAAAAGAGAAAGGCAACACAUGGGCAAAGGAAACACACACACAUGGGAAAAGGAAACACACACACAUGGGUAGGAAUUGUGGGUGUUUGGUGGUUGAAAUGAUGAAGCAUGUGUGUGUAAAUGUAAAGGAAAACAUGGCAGAAAAUGUGUGUGUUUGGUGGUUGAAAUGAUGAAGCAUGUGUGUGUAAAUGUAAAGGGGAAACAUGACAACUCACACCCACACAAGAUGCACAUGCAAAGGAAAUGGAGUGGUCAUCUCUCAAGCCUAUAAAUACCAUUUCCCAUAUUCAUCAACACAACAGAUUUUGAUCCAUCUUAGCCGAAACUUCCCACCACCAUUCUCUCUAAUUUCAGCCAAAAACACCCCUAGCCACACCACCCAUCAAUCCUAAACCUUUCCAUACCAUUCCCCAUCCAUUCUACACCAUAAAAACCACCCAAAACCGUCCAAAACCUCUAGUUCCGCUGCUUGCAAGGAAGGAAAGAGAAGGAACAUCUUGUGCCGUGCCUAUGCCCAAGCCUUGGGAGUGUUGGAGCGUUUCUAGGUGUUUUCUAUCUUUGUUUUUAAUGUCUAAAUUUAUGCAUCUUUGCUUUGUAAGUAUGAGGAACUAAACCCCUCUUAGUUAGGGGGUGAUUUGAAACUAUGUUCAUGCUUGCAAUAUGAUUUGAUUACAUCCAGUUGUGAUUCAUAAGUUGUGAAUUCAAUUUACUUAUCCGUUCGUAUAAAAACUUAUUUGUGUAUGUUGGUUGAGAGUGCACGCUUAAUUUUCAUGCAUGAAUUUGACUCUAGAAUAUAAGGGAGUUUCACCUAAUCGUUAGAACGUAUAUUCACAAGUAGUGAAGGUUGCUAGUCACAAUCACGUUAAGUAAAUUCUUGGCAUAAGUUUCAUGCAAAUCAUAGUCACGAGUGCCUCGUCAAUGCUUAUAUUUUUCAUAGAACUUAAUGAUUCUUGCUUGUAUCUCUAUUAUGCAAUUCAUGUAGGGAACUUGUAGGGAAUGUUUUGGGUUGUCGUAUGCAAUCAUCCAACCUAAUAACUUGUGGAAAAACUGAGGGGUAAUUAGUGCAAUUCACGGUUAAUUUGGGGCGUUGAGUAUUCAUAGUUUAUCGAAAAGCAACUGGAAAUCGUUUUGUAUGCAAGUGUGACAUGUGUGGAGAAGAACCUCCUAGCUAGCCUUCCAUCCAUAAGUUUCAUUCAAAUUCAUUUACAAUCUGUUUUGAUUCACCCAAAUUUGUCUAAGAAUCUGUUUACUUUGUUCUUGUCUUAAUUUAAUUAUUUUCGUCCAAAAUCAACCCCAUCUUAUUUCUUUGAGUCAUAUUAAUUAGAACUUGUCUUAGAUUAUGUUUUUAAGUGUUUUAGUCCAUUAGAAAACCCAAUUUCGUCCAAUUUAGUGUUAGGUGUUCAAAACUGCCCAUAAAGUGUUUUUAAGGCAGUUUUGAGUGUUUAUUUGCUGUUUUGAAUCUUUUUGUUUAUCUUAGUAUUUUAAAGUAUAGUUUUGCAUUCUUUGAGUCUAGUUUAGUGUUUAAACUUUGUUUUUACGUUUUCAAGUCAGUUUCCAAGUGAUUUAGCAAUCCCUCCUAAUCCCCGGCCUAGAACGAUCCCUACUUACAUUGUUUACUACAAUUGACAAAAAGAGGGUUUAAUUUGUGUGCUUAUAUAUUUCGCACCAGCAACUACUUGACCAGGCACAAAUUUAGCGUUCUGGUAGUGUACAUUCUUAACUGGGCUUCCGAGAUAGUAUAUACUUUGGUCUUAGCGCAUGGAUGAGCGUGCAUUUUUGGCUAGCACAUAGAUGAGCAUACACUCACAAUUGGGACCACACUCCGAUAAUCAACAUAAGCAAUCUUCUAGGUGAAUUGUUCAUUCGUGACUAGGCCCGUAAGGAGCAUCAUCCACCUCAUAUCGGAGUAGGCAACACGACAGACGGAGAGAAACAGUCAUUCAAUCUGACUCAAGUUCAACUGGUAGCCUGCGAGGAAUUCACUCGUCUGCUAAUAACGUACCAUAUGCAUCGUAACUGUGACAUAGACGAGCCGAACACAUAGAAGAGUAGCCUAGACCAGUAAGUCACGUCCAGGGACAACCGAGAGCUCGGUUACCCCAACAAAGGCAAAUUCAGGAAGAAGUAGAGAGGUUCUUGAUCGAGCGAUUGCGUAAUUUCCAAUGCAACAAGGUCAUUGACGAGGCAUUACGAUGAGACAUGACUAGCAUAAGUAGGUUACCCUUCACGGACAUCGAGCACUAAGCCUUCACACAAAUUCAACAGGCCACAUUUCACAUCCUUCAAAGGGGAUAGAGACCCGGAAAGACACCUACAAGGCAAGGCGCAAGAUUGGUUUCUCACCUUGCCGCCACAAUCCAUCCAGAGUGUCGAUGAGCUUUAUUUGGUUUUCACCAAGGAAUAUUCAUCCUAUUGCUUGAUCAAGAAAAAGUUAGACAACUUGUUCAAUGUCAAGAAGAACCUAAAUGAGUCGCUUCACGACUAUGUGAAAAGGUUCAAAGCAGAGAAGGCAAAGAUAAUCGGAUGCAAUGACUCGAUAGCUAGUGCAGCCUUCCAAAAAAUACUCCUAGCAGACCACCCGAUGAUCGGAGAAUUGACCAAGAAAGAAGAUCUAACUAUGGCAAACUCUUUUGCUCUAGUGGAGAAGCAUGCACUUUGGGGACAAGGUUCGCCGAUGCACAUUCAAGGCAAGUCUGAGCGAUCUUGAAUAAGAAGUCCCCUAUUAUUCUGAAGGAGAUUCAAGGUCUGACCAGAAGAAGACCUAUUCACAUGUUUGACGGUAUCGGAAACAGUAAUAAGCUCUAUCCUCAUAUGAGAAGAACUGGGUUCAAAAGCUUUCCUCGAUGAGGAAACCAGUUACCAUAAAUUCAAAAGCUAACUCUGGCAACAAUUUUUGCAACCCAGAAGCUCAAGUUAUACAUUCAGAUGCAUGUAGUCAUCCUUAUGAUGCAUUAUUCCGCCCAAUCCAGAGGCACGAUGAUAAAGGCGCAGACACUGGCGGAUGUAAAGUUUUCUGGCGAACGCAACAACUCAACCCAAAAUGCGCACCAAGGGCAGACGAACACUAGAAGAACACAUUCAGAAGCAAGUUUUGUCCUUAUUGCCCCAGAAUAUUCUACAUAGAAGCAACAUGUACCAGCAGUUGAGCACCACCUCUUGUUGUGCGUCACAUGACCCCAACCGACCCUUGCUCUAUAAUUCAGCUCAAAAUUUGCCCAAUACCGGCAGUUGAGCAUCUCUGUUACAUGUAACAUGGCCUCAGCCCCACGGUUCCCUACUGCGCCUUCAUGCCUAGCCGAGGUGAUGCAAUAGAGUGACCCAACGACCCCUCAGAGGCAAUCGAGUACGCCUUAGCCACAUCUGCUUCACUCGAUAGAGACUUCUGGCAUUUGCACGUCGACGACGCAUCCAACUACAAGGGCUCGGGAGUAUGCGUGGUCCUUGUCACCUCAGACAGUUCGAUGCUCGAACAUGCAAUGACUUUAGGCUUCAAAGCAUCCAACAACGAAGCAGAGUAUGAAACCCUACUAGCAAGCCUCUGAAUGGUAAAAGACUUGAUGGUGAAAAAGCUUACAAUUCAUUCUGAUUCCCAGCUAAUCACUAACCAGACUACUGGGGAAUACAUGGCAAAACAUCCGAAGAUGACACAGUCCCUAAAGAAGGUAUGAAAUCAACUUGAGCUGUUUCAGACUUGCACCUUCACUUAAGUUCCUCGCGUAGACAAUGCCUACGAGGACACACUAGCUGGCCUAGGCUCUACCCUCGGCCACCAACUCAAACACUUUAUUCUGGUGGAAUAUCUAGACAAGCCAAGCAUAAAGGUGGAACCAGCAACCGAGGUGUCACAGGUUAGUACAACUCCAAACUGGCAAGUUCCAUUAUAGACUACUUGGUCAAUGGAACACUCCCCAUGGAAAGAUUGAAGUCUAGAAAGCUUCAAAUGAAGGUAAUACACUACUACAUGUAGAACGACAUUCUCGUCCGAAGAUCCUACACUGGACCAUAUCUUCGCUGCCUAGCAUUUCCCAACAACCUAAAGGUUCUAAGCUCAUCCCAUGAAGACAUUUGUGGAAAUCAUUCCGGAGGCCGAUCCUUAACACAGAAGGCUCUUAACGCAUACUACUAUUGGCCUAUUAUGCAUCAAGACACUAAGGAGUUAGUACAGAAGUACGACUGCUGCCAACGCUAUAAGCCGGUACUAGCAUUGUCUGCCAGCGAACUACACCCACAGACAAGUCCUUGGCCAUUCAUGCAGUAGGCAAUUAACUUGGUAAGGCCAUUGCCGCCCGCUAAUGGGGGCAGAGUUGUGAUGAUCGUGGCAAUUAACUACUUCACCAAAUGGGUAGAAGCAGAGCGCAUGACAACCACAACUCAGACGGACAUAUAGCGCUUCAUAUAGAGGAACAUCAUUUGCCGAUUUGGCAUCCCUUAAUCCAUCGUCACAGACAGUGGCCUGUAAUUCGUAGGCAAAGAUUUGGCAAAAUUCUUCCAAAAAUAUGGCAUCAAGCAGCACAUGUCCACGUCAAGGUAUCUCCAAGCCAAUAGGCAGGCCGAAGCAUCUAACAAGAUGAUUCUCGACUGCCUCAAGAAAUCCUUCUCUGACAAAAAGGGAAAAUGACUGGACAGACUCCCUGAAUGUCUAUGGGUGUAUUGCAUAACCAAACGACGAGCAACUGGUGAGAUUCCUUUCUCUUUGGCAUUUGGUUCAGAAGCAAUCAUUUCUCCCAAUGUCAUCAUGCCAAGUAUCAAUACUCUAUUGCCAAGCAUCGAGCAAAAUCGAAAGAAGAUGGCAAAAAACUUAGAUUUGGUAGAGCAAGAACGCUAGAAGGUCAUCACCUGCAUCGUAGCCUACCAGCAGUAGCUCAUCUCUAGCCACAACAAAAAGGCCAAGAUCCGAAAGUUCUAGCCCGGAGAUCUAGUGUUUAGAAAAGCCUCAUCAUUGCCUACAGAGAAGGUUCUAAAAAGAUGGAUCCUAUAUGGAAAGGUCCGUACAUGAUCAGCAGAGUAGGCUGCAAGGGUAGUUAUACCUUCACCACCAUGAACGACAAAGAGAUCGAAAAACAAUGGAAUGCCUACAAUUUGAGGAAGCACCAUGUGUGACAUUCUGCUACAUUAAACCCCAAAUACUCAAGUAACUCGAUGGGCACCACCUUGCAAGCUAAGGACUAUCCAGUUGUUAUGCAGUUCCUACCUUACAACUAAGUUUUCGUUCAUUUCACUCAUUUUUCAAUGUGGAAUUCAGAAGUAAUUUACAACUUGGCUCGGCUACAUGCUUACAACAACUGAUCACUCCAGCACUUCAAAAGAAGACUGCACCCUUGUAAAGGACUCAUCACAGGAAUUGCACCCCCUAGGGACCAACCAUGCUCUCUAGUGCGAGAGGGUAAACCAAUUCCCCGAUACCUAUAUGGGUUUGCUCUUCAAUGCGGGAGGAUAAAGUUUACACUUCGAAUAUCGAGACAUGGAUGAGUCGUGCUGCCUUGGUGUAAUUAGGCGCACGAUAGCUUGUGCUGGGAUUCCUAGAAGUAGCCGCAAUGAUCUUCUUCAAGGCUUAGCUAACUGAAAGAUUUUGGGUUUCUUGCCCAAUCCGCGAGGAAACGGGCUUUAGAGACAGAGGAGGCACAUUACGUAGUACGCCUUAUGGACGGUUUCCUUGGAACACUAAAGUUGCUACCAAAUGUACUAAGGUAGCUUACGGUUUCCAGAAGACUGCCUACGGCUUGCCCUUCGAGCAGUAAGCCGCACUAAACUUAUAUAACCGCACGUUUUUAUGAAAGGGUAAACAAGUUAGCGCGCAUAUACAAAGUUUCAUCCAUUGUCGACAUGCUAUACAGUCGAUAAGCUUCACUUAUGCCAAAGUGCGGAAUGAUCUACACUAAUUCAUAAAGUGUGAUACUUGCUAUGCAACCCACGAAAUUGGUUACAUAAAGGCAAGGAGUUCUGUCUGAUAUUUGUUUACGAAAUUCCAUACAACCGCGUACUUUUGAUAUGAGUGAUUAGCGAAUUUCAUAACCCAAAAAUCUUUAGUAUGUUGUGAUGCAGGCCACACAACUCAAAGGAUUGAAGAAAGCCAAGGUUAACAGCCAAGUAGUCUCGCGGACUCGUCUGCUUCUUUAAGUAAGGUGUCCGGCUGCCGACCUUAUGGCUAACAACUAUGUAAAAGUUAUAUACCAACACCUGCGGCAACAUAGGCUACGUGGGUUUGUUUGCUUAUAGAAAAGCAACACGUCUGCCGCUAGUUUAAAGGUCAAAAGUUGGGCAUAAAUAAAAGAAGCGAAGAUAAAGAAAAGUGAAGGAAGCAAGUUUAUUAAAUUUUUUAGCAAAAUUGAUAAACAAACAGCAAAGGUCGAAGGAGUUCAAGCAAAGCAAAAAGCAACAAGGAAAACAAAGAAAAUCCUAAAGGUUACCUAGAAGACUACUUUUUAACAGCUUGGACAUCCCACGACUACUCGGUCGCUGCACCUUCAGUAGCCGCGACGUUCUUAGUAGCAACAUCAUCCAAUGCUUCACCCCCGACUUCCUCAGCCUGGGCACCAACUUCUCCGACUACUUCACCGAUGGAAGCCUAAAAAAUAAAGGCAAGCAAGUCUUCUGGAGAAAUAGAAAAGGUCUCGAAGUCUUUCCCAGCCAACUCAAAGUCAGACGGCUUACUAAAGAGAUUACCUACAUAACCUAGCUUGUAGAAAUCAGCCCGACUCUGAACUAGCAAAGCCUCGAGUCCAGCCUUCUCACUUUUCAACUACUCGUUCUCCUCGGGCAGACCAACACGGACACGUUGCAGCUCAUCCACUUCAUUCUUCAGACUUUCAUUGAUCUUCAGUGCACUUUGAAGUUCCAACACUUGAGGUUCAAGCCCAUCGAUGACCUUAUUGAAGUGGAUCGCUUGAUUAUAAGCAGCAUUCAACUCUUCAUCCUUUGCGUAAGCAGUAGAACAAAGCUAAAAAACGGCACCCUCAAUAUUUUGAAUUUGAGGUAUGUAACAUUGCUGAGUACCAAUUGCCCACCAAAUUGGAAUCAACCUAGUGAUAAUGGAGGAUGGUGCAAUCCGCCACGCGAGCAUUUUGAUAAAGCCAAACCUGUGUUCCUUAACAUUGCUGAGUGUAAGGCGGGCAUUAUUCCAGUCACGUACCGCAAGUGAUUAAAUGCACAUGCAUGUAUUGAAUAGAUUGAAUGUUUGAUGAUCAAUACAUAAAAAUGGAUUUAUCACGAAUACUAAUGUUGUGAGACUAGCCAUCUAAAUCACACAUUACUAACAUAUAAAUUUCGAUUGUCCAUAUUGAAAAGCAUGAUAACAUAACAUGUACGUAUAUUAAUUGCAUAACGAGAAUAUUUCCCGUUGUAAAAGAUUUUAACGAUUGCUAGAAAUUGUUUUGUAGGGUUCCAUGUCAAAAGAAAGGAGGCAUGCGAUUCACAAUAAUUGGGAACCCUUAUUUCAAUGAAGUGUUGGUAUGGAACGUGGGAGGAGUUGGGGACAUCAUCAGCGUGCAGGUGCAGGGCUCCGACAAGCUCAAAUGGACAACAAUGAGUCGGAUGUGGGGUCAGCGAUGGAUUACUGGUGCCAAGAUGGUCUGUGAGUCACUGACCUUCCGAGUUGAAGCAACUGAUAGGAGACACUCAACUUUGUGGCAUGUUGCCCCAAAGACUAGGCAGUUUGGCUAGACUUUUGAAGGGAAGAACUUCCGAUUGAUCAAAAGCACAUCAUAAGCUUCGAUGCUUCAUACAUGUUGAACUCCUCCACGCCAUAAACUAGGUUGGCUUGUCAUUACAAAUGUAUAUAUAUACCGGCCAUGGAAUUCUUGCCCCACUAUGUAAUAAUAAAAGCAAGGCACUCGUAUAUACACAAUUUCGUAAAUUUUCCUUCUUCGAUAUUUUUCUUGAGUGGUACUACUCUCACCCGCCUCUCAUAUUUCUUGACCCACCGUGUAUUCAUUUGUCAAGAACAUUUUCACUAGUAGGUGUUGGCAGUAAAAUAAAACAUGUGGUUAGAAUCACUCUUUUAUCUUUUUAUUUUUUUGGUCAGACAUGUUGUUAAAUCAAUUGAAGAUGAUUAUUUCUCAAUAUACUUUUCUCCCAUGCUUUCUUCAUUCAUGGUUCAAUAUUUUGGUGUCCUAGGCAUAGAGGAACCACACCAGUCUAUCAUGAUUCCUCACAUUUGUUCCUUGUGAUAUAGCGGAACCAUGGCAAUUACACUAUCAAAAAAAUACCAUUUACUCGACCACAUUGAGCACCUAUAUAAAGGGGUUUGAACCUCCUGUUUUGGGGUUGGACAAUUGAAAGGAGAGAGUGUUCAUGUAAUAAGGGGUGGCGAACCCCAGCAAGCAACACGGGUUUGCUGCAGGCAGGCCUGUGGCAUAGGACAAAGACUAACAGCAUAAGGUUGUUGCCAGGUUAGGCUAGGGACACGUAGACAGGUCCAAGAAGAGCUGCAAGCCUUCUCAGUUUAGGUUGGGGGCUUUAGGCCCGAGUAACCCCAAUGGCGAAGUCAGGAAUUAUUCGCAAGAAGGGCGAAAUUUAGAAAGGGGUAAAAGGCUCCAAAAGAAUUUAGACAAUAUUUCAUUCAAUUGAGUUAGCUUAUUUUGUUGAGAAUAUUUGGACUAUUCGGAAUAUUCAAAUGAGGAUUUGUGCACUAGCCGUAUUAUUUGAAGGAGGAUAUAAGUAUCGCUUCUUAUAAGAUUGUUCCAUUGCGUAAAUGUAUAAUGAGAAAGGUCCUAAAAGGAGUUAGGCUUUAGUCAGGAGGCGGGCUGGAGCCUAAUGCCUAGUGCCUCAGCAGAACCUUGAUUUAUUAUAUUCAUAUAAAUAAAUGCCUAUUUAUAAUAAUAAUAAUAAUAUAUAAAAAUAUUGAAAAUUCUCCUUAGUACUUUGGUAAAUCUAAUAGUAUGAGAUAAAAAUUCAAGUGAUUACGAGUUCGUGGUGUUUUACGAAAUAUUUUUUGAAUCUCGUAUGAAUUUAUUUUAUAUUUUAUAUGUGUGACUUGAAAAUUAUAUAAAACAAAAGAAUAUAGUGAGUAUAUUUAUAUUAUAGUGUGUACCAUAAAAAUAAAAAGAAAUAUAAUUACAAAAUGGGUAAUGUUAGAGAGAUUAAUUUUUUUAAACCAAAUUUGCAAACCAAAUGAUGUGGUUGAAGAUGAUUGGAUUAUUAACUAAGUAUCGAUUAAUGUGCUUAUUUCUUAUUGAUGACAUAUCAUUUGAUUUGCAAAUUUGAUUUAUAAAUUUACUCUCCCUAGCAUUAUCCUUACAAAAUACAGUAAUAUAGUCUUUCUUUCUUUCUAUUUUGUCGAUUAGUAUAUCAUUUUCUUUCAAUUAGAGUGUUAUCAAGAUUCUAUGUGAUGUUCUCCUGGUUAUGGCAAAAUGAAUGGCAGUAGCGACUACCACAUGUAAAAUGUAAACAAAACUCAAAGCACUCAAACAGUGUCGUGUAAUUAAAUUAUAAAAAAUAGGGUUUUAACUUUUUGUCUUCUUCUCGAUGGUGGGUAUGCAGACUUUGCAAUAUGUUACAGCACCAAGCUUUGCAACUGCAAACAUGGCUGUCUUAUUGAAGCCGAGAUUCACAUCAAACCGAAAACAAAAAGCCGCCGCGCGCAAGGCCUGCAUAGCAGCAACAGAAAACAGGGCUGCUACCUGCAAGUUUUUCGACAGACCAGAGGGGCAGAAAACAGAGCUCGCUCCUAGGCUUCAUUUCCGGCGAGAAGAGCGGCGGUCGCCCCUCCUUGCCCCUAUGUAGCUUCGCCAGUAUGUAACCGUACCAGGUCGAAGGUCUGUGUGUCCGUGUAGACACAACAAAACCCAUAGGGUUGUUACCAUGGUCCAGACGUUGCAACGAUGUCGUCUUCGUGGUGUGGUCGACACGGCUGGGCUGCAGGCCAGCGCAGUGGUGCAGUGGCUAUGCUGCAUUAUAUUCCCAAAUUUUGUUUUUUUUUUCCCGACAUGUGUAAGGUUUGAAAACCCCUAAAUUGCUUCUCAUUUAUUUAUAUGAUUUGAAACACAAAUUCCACAUAACAAUAUACUUGCACAAUGCAUGAAACAUAUAUAUAAAUAUAUAUAUAUAUAUAUAUAUAUAUAUAUAUAUAUAUAUAUAUAUAUAUAUCGGAAGGAAAAUAUAAAUAUAGGGGGUUCAUGCAUCAUGGGGAAUGUUUUCAUGCUUCGUGGACGUUUCAAAAAUCUUACUUUAUUUUAAGCGUACCUGAUUGGCAGAAAACAAAUAAAAGCCUUUGAAUGUUGUAGAAGAAAACCUCCUUCUACGAUCCUUCAAUUCCUUAACUUAUGGCAAUAGCGUGUGGAUAAUGUGUUGUAAACCUAUUUAACUGAACUAUUCUAAGGGAAUAGAGAGGGGGAGGUCGGCGGCAAUAAGAGAGAUAAGAGAGAGAUUUAAUUGUGAGGUGUGUGUUGUAUCAUCCCAUUGUGCCUUUAUUUAUAGUAGUAGGAUAGGUUAAAUCCUUACCCUUUUAGGAUUACAACUCCAAUAGGAUAUUAACUGACACACCCCGACCAAAGUCAAGGCAUGCUGGCCAUCACAUGAGAGUGAUGUAGCCAUGUGCACAGUGCGGAAGCGGUAAAGCUAGCAAUUAUACGAAUAAUUAAAAACCAGAUUACUAGUGUGCACUACUAAACAGAAAGUGAUCGGAGUUACACAGUAAACACUCCUAAUCAGAGCAUAAAGUUUAGGUGUAGUCCAGAAGGACAAGUACUAGUUACACAGUACCAGGAAAGUCAUACUAUUAAUCAAAUAGGUCAGAAUUGUCGAAGAUCCCGAGCCACCAACAACAAUCUUACUUAGAACCCGGAGGGGCGCAAAACAGAAAACGUGAGUGGGCAAAACAAAUGUUUCACAAAAUCAUUUCAUUUAUCAACAUAUCUAGCCCCUCGCUGUAAAACAUGUAAAAUUUUCCCAGAAUCAAGAUACAAAUAUAUACAUAAAUGAAUAUAAACAUAUAUCAAAUCAAAUCAUGCUUUACGUAAUCAUAUUCACAUGUAUGUAAGCCAUGCCAAGACAUAACAGAGUAAGCAAUUCAGGUAAGAAUAAAUUCAUAGAAAUAUGAUAUGAUAGCCGGAACCACUAAGGUAGUAUGUACAGCUGAAUUCAUAGCUCAAACUCAAUCUAGCCGGAGUCACUUCUAUGACUUAUAUGGCAAUAUACUGCACAUAAGUUGGAACCACUGAAAUGGUCUAUACGACAAGGUUGGGUGUGAUAUAGUUAUGCUCAAUGCCACAACCUCAUGCUAGCUGUGCGAUAAAUAGUUAGUCACCAAGGAGUCGGAACCACCUAUAUUGGUCUGUACGACAAGACUGUGCACCUAAAUUAGAUCCAAUGUGAGCAUAUGGUGCGGGAGAUGACAUAAUAUACAGGCAUGUGCCAACUCUCUCCGGCUAAAUCGCAAUCACCCGGGGUGCAGGUUUAUGAGCUCAUCGUUUCUCAAUCAUAUCUCAUAUAGACAAUCAACAUGUUAAUCUCAUUUAUUGAAUGGCUGCAUCUAACCUCUCAUUAGACUGCCUACGUACCCUAAACAGGGAUCAAGCCGUUCGUAGUUCACCUAGACCAAACAUAACUUACCUGCACUUACAUGUGCCUCCAUAGCACCACAAUUACAUAUAUAUGCAACCAUGAAAUGCAUAUUCAGAAUAUAAAGGCAUUUGGCAUAUUAUUUCAAAGCAUACUUUCAUUUAAAACACAUUUUUGGGAAAUAUAUGCGAAUUAACUAUAAAAACGUUAUUUUAAAGCACAUUUACAAAACUAGCUAAUAACUUCUCAUACAUUGCUCAAUUUUGGUAUUUAAAUAUACCAACGUGACCUACAUAACCUCACGAACAUCGUGAUAUUUUUAGAAAAAUUUUCCUAUAGCUCACAUGCAUUAUCUUCAACCUCCAGACGCCGGAAUAGUGUCACCGACGUCGGAUUCUGGGCAGACCUAUAACUGCCCAUUUCUCUCUCGUUUUUGCACCAUUUUCUAUGAAAUCUUCACCCAAAUGUCACAAAUUUCAAGAGGAAGAAUGUUAUACCUCUUUGAAGCCUAAAAUCCUUCGAAAACACGUAGGAAAAAUAUCACCAAAAUCAGCCACUUUCGAACCUCGUGAUCCCGACGUCCAAAACCUUCAAACAAAGCACUUCGAGCUUCCUUGGGACCUCACUAAGCUCGCUAUAAGCUUGGAUUGUCCUAAAAUACAACCAUUCGAAAGUUCAUGAAUAGUGCUUAACUCGGAGCUUGAGUUUUCAACGUGAAAUCGAACGAGUUCUUACCUGAAAUUGGUACCUUUGUACUUGUAUGGUCCGCACGAACACAAUGGUACCAAUUUCUUCUUCGAUCUGUGAUGAUUUGGCUUGGUUCGACCUUGUCCGUACAGAGGAGAGGGAAGAGAAAGAGAGACUGUGAGUCUGAGAGAGAGUACGGGAGAGAGGAAAAAGAAAAGGGUAUGGGUAUGAGUGUGUGGUUCCAAAGUGUACACCAAUCACAACCAAAAAUUUUCUUACUUCCAAUUGGGCCAAUAUUAGUAGGGACUUAAUACAUUGGUCCUCAACCAUAACCACACCUAAUCCCAUGAUGCCGCAAACGCUCGAGGGCAUUUUAGUAUUUUCAUAUCAAUGAUAACAAAAUAAUGUACAUUUUCGGGACGGGUUGUGACAAUCUCCCCAACUUAUAAAAUUUCAUCCUCGAAAUUACAUACAACCAAUACAUCCACUAAUAAUCAUAAAACAAGCGUGGAUACAUCUCUCUCAUCCGUUCCUCUGUCUCCCAAGUAGCUUAUUCCAUUGAAUGAUUUCUCCAUAACACUUUAACUAGACGAACUGUCUUGUUUCUCAGUUCUUUAUCCUUCCAAUCCAAUAGAGUCACUGGUUCUUCAUCAUAAGUCAAAUCUGGAUUAAUUUCCAAAGGUUGGGGAGGAAUCACAUGUGAAGGAUCUGAAACGUAAUGUCGAAGCAUUGAAACAUGAAUAAAUUAUGCACCUUGGAUAACUCUGGAGGCAACUCAAGCCUGUAAGCAACCUCACGGACUCGCUCGGUGAUCAUAUAUGGUCCAAUGUACCUAGGACUCAACUUUCCUUUCUUUCCAAAUCGUACAACACCUUUCCAGGGUGAUAGCUUCAGAAAUACCCAAUCACCUACAUCAUACUUCUGAUUAGUGGCAUGCUUGUCUACUAAGCUCUUUUGUCGAUCUUGGGCCGUUUUCAGGUUAGACUUAAUUACCUGAACAUUUUGAGUAGUCACAUCCACAAUCUCAGGGCCCACUAAAACACUUUCGCCAACCUCUGACCAACAUAGAGGUGUACGACAAGAUUUCCCAUAAAGUGCCUCAAAUGGUGCCAUACCAAUGCUCGAAUGAUAGCUGUUGUUGUAGGUGAACUCCAUCAGAUCCAAACAAUCAUGCCAACUAUCUCCAAACUGCAGCACUGAAGAUCUCAACAUAUCCUCUAAUGUUUGAAUGGUCCUCUUAGAUUGUCCAUCUGUCUGAGGAUGAUAUGUCGUACUAUAAAGCAAUCUCGUACCAAGAGCUUCCUGGAAUGUUAUCCAGAACUUGGAAGUAAAUCUGGGAUCUCGAUCCGAGAUAAUAUUAACUGGUACACCAUGGUACUUCACAAUCUGUGUAAUAAAUAACUUAGCUAAUCGGCUUAACGAAUACUUCUCGCUCGUUGGAAUAAAAUGUGCUGACUUUGUAAGCCGAUCAACUACUACCCAAAUGCCGUCAUAACCAUUCUGUGUGCGAGGAAGCUUGUAUACAAAAUCCAUAGUAAUAUUUUCCCAUUUCCACUAUGGAAUGGGAAGUGGCUGCAUCAACCCAAACAGUUUGUUUCUUUCAGCUUUAACCUGUUAGCAAAUGGCACACCUACUCACAUAUUCGGCAAUUUCUCUUUUCAUACCUGGCCAAUAGUAAAAUGGCCUAAUGGUAUGAUACAUCUUAGUGCCUUCUGGAUGCAUUGCAUAUGCCGAAAUAUGUGCUUCAUCCAAAAUUUCUUUCUUUAAUUCUGCAUUAUCGGCACAUACAUUCUGCUUUCUUGCAUAAGCAUGCCAUCAGUUUCUCGAAUCUCAAAAUCUUUCUUUUUGCCUUGAUUCCUUGCUUGAAUUAUUUCCUAGGUCUCUUCAUCAAUCAUUUGGGCCUCAAGCACACGAUCAAUUAAAACUAGCCUAACCUGGAAAUUAGCAAGCAAGGCUUCUCCUUGAUCUUCCACUCCUAACUCCACUCCAGUGGACCUCAAAUCUGCUAAAAGAGGAACAUGACAAUCAUAGAUGGCAUUAAGUCUGGCUGGAGUCUUCCUGCUAAGUGCAUCAGCCACUGCAUUUGCAUGACCAGGAUGGUACUCAAUCAUGCAAUCAUAGUUACUAAGUAACUCAAUCCAUCUCUGCAAGAUCUCUCUGAGUAAAUAGAUACUGAAGACUCUUAUGAUCUUUGAAGAUCUUACAUUUCUCACCGUAAAGAUAAUGUCUCCAAAUCUUCAAGGCAAAGAUGAUAGCGGCUAACUCCAAAUCGUGCGUAGGGUAAUUCUUCUUAUGAGGUUUCAACUGUCUCGAAGCAUUAGCAAUUACCCUACCAUGUUGCAUCAAUACACAACCCAAACCAUUCAGAGAAGCAUCACUAUAGACCUCAUAAUUACCGUUAUCAUCUAGAAGUGCUAGAACAGGUGCAUGGGUGAGAUAGUACUUUAGCUGCUGGAAACAUCGCUAACAUUUACUAUCCCACUCAAACUUAACAUCUUUUCGAGUCAACCUCGUCAGUGGCAAGGAAAUCACUGAAAAAUCCUUAACGAACCGUCUAUAACAGCCUGCUAAGCCAAGAAAACUCCGUACCUCGAUAACGGUUCGAGGUUGCUCCCAAUUCUCCACAACUGCCACUUUCUGAGAAUCCACUUGAAUGCCUUGAGCAGAAACGACAUGUCCCAAGAAUGUCACUUGAUCCAACCAAAAUUCACAUUUGCUAAACUUAGCAUAUAGUUGGUGUUCCCUCAAACUGCUCAACACCAACUUCAGAUGUCUAGCAUGCUCAGCCUUAGACUUAGAGUAUACCAGGAUAUCAUCAAUGAAGACAAUAACAAACAUGUCCAAAUAUGGCUGGAAUACUUGAUUCAUCAAAUCCAUAAAAGCUGCAGGUGCAUUAGUUAACCCGAAUGGCAUCACAAGAAACUCAUAAUGACCAUAUCGAGUCCUAAAUGCGGUUUUAAGGACAUCUUCAUUUUUAAUUUUCAACCAGUAGUAUCCCGACCUCAAGUCAAUCUUAGAAAAUACGCAGGCACUUCUGAGUUGAUCAAAUAAAUCAUAUAUACAAGGCAAUGGAUAAUGGUUUUUAAUGGUUACCCUAUUCAAUUGCCUGUAAUCGAUGCACAACCUCAAAGUUCCAUCGUUCUUCCUCACAAAUAAAACUGGAGCUCCCCAAGGUGAAGUACUAAGCUGAAUAAAACCUUUAUCCACUAACUCUUGCAACUGCACUUUUAAUUCUCUUAAUUCAGCAGGAGCCAUUCUGUAAGGAGUCAAGGAUAUAGGAUUCGUACCUGGAAGCAGAUUAAUAACAAACUCCAUCUCUCUAUCUGACGGCAAUCCAGGCAAAUCCUGAGGGAAUAUAUCCAAAAAAUAUCUGACCACACGAACAUCCUCCACACUGCUAGGAGCAUCAUCUUUCAACACUACAUGAGCCAAAUAUCCCUGACAACCUUUCGACAACAAUCUCUUUGCUUUCAUGGCUAAAAUAAUACCAUGCCUCACCCCACUAGGCUCUCUUACAAAUGUAACUUCAGGUAAUCCAGGACAAUGAAAUGUGACUGUCUUCCCAUAACAAUCUAUCUUGGCACGAUUAUAAUGCAACCAAUCAGUGCCCAAAAUCACAUCAAAAUCCAUAAUAUCCAACGGCAUAAGAUUAGCCGGCAUAAUAAUACCCUUUACUAUCACUGGACAUCCUGGAUAUACCCAAUCCACAAAACAGCUAUCCUCUCUAGGCAUAGAAAAUUCUAAAUUAUAUCAUAUGGGUGUAGGAUGAGGUUGUGUCACUUGAGCAAAUGUAUGAGAAAUAACAGAAUGCGUAGCAUCACAAUCAAUCAACACUCUAGCAAAAUGACCAAGAAUAUUUAACAUACCCAUGAUUAAAUCUAGAUUAUUCUGGGCAUCUUGCAGUGACAUGUUGUGGAUACGCCCUUGACUCUGCUGUCGUCCACUGCGACCUCUAUUGACAUGAAUACCACGUCCCUGCCUCUGCUGACCUGACUGCCUCGAAGAUCCUACAUUACUAGCAGCAAUCUCUCCCUGCUGGGGCUGUCUCCCUUGAUACCUCUAAGAUCAUCUGGCUGAAUGAAGCUAAUAAGACAUAGAUCUUCCCUGGUACUGAGGGUAUCCACUCUGAUACUGAAGAUCUCGAGAAUACUGCUGCUGUCUUGAGGUGUAGGGAGCGGCAUCGCCCUGGUAGUGGUAGCCACCUCCUCGUCCUGUCUGAGUAUAACCAACAGAUCCUGAAUCGUGCUGGGUAGGUGCAGGUGGUGGGAAGGAAGGCUGCUGGGGUCUCUGCUGACUUUGAGGGCAUUGAGCAGCCCUAUGACCCAUCUGUCCAUAAGUAAAACAUCCGUUGCUGCCUCUCCUACAUUCCCCAAAAUGCCGAUUAUUACACCUGCAGCAUAAAGGAGCACCAGAUCCACCUGAACCACCAAAAUCUCUCUAUCUCUGGAACUUCAGACCUCCAGUGAAUCUACCACCUCUCCUCUGCAUAUUAGUACUCAAUCCCCCGCUAAAAGAGCUGGAACAGCCACCACUCCUCUUAAAGUUCUGAGUCUUGCGGGGUCCUUGAAAAGCUUGCCCUUUUCCUUUGUCAUCUCGUCUCUGGCCCCCAUUCUUUCCUUCCUCAUCCUCACUUUCACUAGGCAUGUUCUUUGAGGCCUUAAUCCUCAGUAGAAUCUCAUAAAACUCUUGGUAAGAGGCACAGUGAGUUGAUGUUGCUAUGGAACGCCAUUUCUUCUUAGUACACAAACUAAAACGACGAAGCAUCUAUACCGGAUUAGCAGUAACCUCCAGAUCAUAUCUCGACAGAUCAGUAAACAUCCUGUAAUACUCAUUAGCAGACAUCUUCCCUUGCCUUAGAUGAGUAAACUCCUGUUUCUUAAGAUCAAUAUACGCAGGAGGAAUGAACCUUUUCCGAAACCGUUCCUUAAACACUCCCCAGUCCACAAUCUCUUCUGGGGUCAUCUCGUAAGACUCCAGUCUCCACCAGGAUGCAGGCUAUUCUCCCAAAAACCAGGUAGUCGUCUCGACCCACCUAUCAGAAGGAAGAUUCCCCUGACUUUGCAUCACCUAGAAGGUCUUUUCCACAUGAUUCAACCAUUUUUCUGCCCCCUCAUGACCUUCAUUACCCAUAAAGUGAGUCAACUCAGAUUAUAGACUGUCUCAAGAGGUGUCCUCUGGGGAGUACGGAAUGCUGUCUGAAUGGCAAAAACUAUAGCUUCCCUUAAUUGAGCAAUAUUAGGGAAACUAGAUUCAGCUGGUUGACGGGGCUCUCUACGAGACGACAUAGUUCUGACAUAAGACAUCACAAGGAUUAGAACAUUUAAGAAUUAUACAUGACUGCUAAACUUAAGCUCUGAUACCAAGUUGACACACCCUGACCGAGGUCAAGGCAUGUUGGCCGUCACGUGAGAGUGACGUAGCCAUGUGCACAGUGUGGAAGCGAUAAAGAUAGCAAUUAUACGAAUAAUUAAAAACCAGAUUACUAGUGUGCACUACUAAACAGAAAGUGAUCGGAGUUACACAGUAAACACUCCUAAUCAGAGCAUAAAGUUUAGGUGUAGUCCAGAAGGAUAAGUACUAGUUACACAGUACCAGGAAUGUCCUAUUAUUAUUUAAAUAGGUCAGAACUGCUGAAGAUCCCGAGCCACCAAUAGCAAUCUUACUUAGAACAUGGAGAGGCGCAAAACAGAAAACGUGAGUGGGCAAAAACAAAUGUUUUACAAAAUCAUUUCAUUUAUCAACAUAUCUAGCCCCUCGCUGUAAAACAUGUAUAAUUUUUCCAGAAUCAAGAUACAAAUAUAUAUAUAAACGAAUAUGAACAUAUAUCAAAUCAAAUCAUGCUUUACGUAAUCAUAUUCACAUGUAUGUAAGCCAUGCCAAGACAUAACAGAGUAAGCAAUUCAGGUAAGAAUAAAUUCAUAGAAAUAUGAUAUGAUAGCUGAAACCCUUGAGGUAGUAUGUACGGCUGAAUUCAUAGCUCAAACUCAAUCUAGUCGGAGUCACUUCUAUAACCUAUACGGCAAUAUACUGCACAUAAGUCGGAGCCACUGAAAUGGUCUGUAUGACAAGGUUGGGUGUGAUAUAGUUAUGCUCAAUACUACGCCCUCAUGCUAGCUGUGCGAUAAAUAGUUAGUCACCUAUGAGUCGGAACCACCUAUAGUGGUAUGUACGACAAGACUGUGCACCUAAAUUGGAUCCAAUGUGAGCAUAUGGUGCGGGAGAUGACAUAAUAUACAAGCAUGUGCCAACUCUCUCUGGCUAAAUCGCAAUCACCCGGGGUGCAGGUUUAUGAGCUCAUCAUUUCUCAAUCAUAUCUCAUAUAGACAAUCAACAUGUUCAUCUCAUUUAUUGAAUGGUUGCACCUAACCUCUCGUUAGACUGCCUACGUACCAUAAACAGGGAUCAAGCCGUUCGUAGUUCACCUAGACCAAACAUAACUUACCUGCACUUACCUGUACCUCCACAGCACCACAAUUACAUAUAUAUGCAACCAUGAAAUGCAUAUUCAGAAUAUAAAGGCAUUUGGAUAUUUUCAAAGCAUACUUUCAUUUAAAACACAUUUCUGGGAAAUAUAUCAAGUAUAUACAUAUAUACAAAAAACAAAAGCCCACUCACUGAUAUGUCAACAGGUCGUAACCCCCGAGUCGCCCGUGGAUACGCUCGUCCUCGGGAUAAGCCUCACCUAUAUGCGAAUUAACUAUAAAAACGUUAUUUUAAAGCACAUAUACAAAACUAGCUAAUAACUUCUCAUACAUUGCUCAAUUUUGGUAUUUAAAUAUACCAACGUGACCAACACAACCUCACGAACAUGGUGAUAUUUUUAGAAAAAAUUUCCUAUAGCUCACACGCCCUCACGUGGCUGGGAGGGCAUGGCAUCACGUGCCCUCACGCACAUCACCUUCAACCUCCAGACGCCGAAAUAGUGUCAUCGGCGCCGGAUUCUGGGCAGACCUGCAACUGCCCAUUUCUCUCUCGUUUUUCCACCAUUUUCUACGAAAUCUUUACCCAAAUGUCACAAAUUUCAAGAGGAAGAAGGUUAUACCUCUUUGAAGCCUCAAAUCCUUCGAAAACACGUCGGAAAAAUCUCACCAAAACCGGCCACCUUCGAACCUCGUGAUCUCGACGUCCAAAACCUUCAAACGAAGCACUCCGAGCUUCCUUGGGACCUCACUAAGCUCGCUAUGAGCUUGGAUUGUCCUAAAAUACAACCAUUUGAAAGUUCAUGAAUAGUGCUUAACUCGGAGCUUGAGUUUUCAAUGUGAAAUCGAACGAGUUCUUACCUGAAAUGGGUACCUUUGUACUCGUAUGGUCCUCAUGAACACAAUGAUACCAAUUUCUUCUUCGAUCAGUGAUGAUUUGGCUUGGUUUGACCUUGUUCGUAUGGAGGAGAGGGAAAAGAGAGAUAGAGAGAUAAUGAGUCUGAGAGAGAGAGUACGGGAGAGAGGAGAAAGAAAAGGGUAUGGGUGUUAGUGUGUGGUUCCAAAGUGUACACCAAUCACAACCAAAAAUUUUCUUACUUCCAAUUGGGCCCAAAUCAGUAGGGACUUAAUACAUUGGUCCUCAACCACAACCACACCUAGUCCCACAAUGCCACAAACGCUCGAGGGCAUUUUAGUAUUUUCACAUCAACGAUAACAAAAUAAUGUACAUUUCCGGGACGGGUUGUGACAUUAACUACUAAAGGGAAUAUUCAAAUAUAUCCCUAGAUAUAUUAGGAUUUACAAAAUCACAUUUCUAUUCUAAAUAUGACUGCAACAAUAUAUUAUAUAUAUAUAUAUAUAUAUAUAUAUAUAUUACAUUUUUACACUUCUACAUUAAUUAUUAUGAAUUAUUAUUAAUUUUGCACUCAAGCAAUAAACAAUAUUCAUGAAGGUUUAGAGGGCUUUAAAAAUCUAAACGACGAUUUAACCACUGUCUAAGCGUAAAGGAUGCAAUCACAAGUGUUUGUAUAUUUUUUUCACAUUUUCAUACUUUUACAUUAAUUAUUUUGAAAUUUUAUUUAUUUUGAACUCUCCUAAAAACAAUGUUCACGAAGGUUUGUAGGGUUUUUAAAAGUCCAGACAACGACGUACCCAUCGCCAAAGCGUAAAGGAUGCAAUUAUGAGCGUUUUGCAUAUUUUUUCACACUUGUAAGUUAAUUAUUAUGAAAAUUUUAAUGUGCUUUAGUAUUUUUAAAUGGCUUUGGUAUUUUUACUAUGCUUUGGCUAACCAUGCUCGGUCGCGAGUUGGCACAUCCGUAUUGACCAAAAGAACGUAGUUAGCUCUUAGUUACUCGGUUUGCGCAUUACGUAGACUUGGUAUUUUUAGGGUUUACAACAUCAAUUAAGAAACGGCUGAUAGUUGUCUCUGGGCAUGGAACAAAACUUAAAUGUUAUCAGCAGAUGUCCUUAAUAUUUCUCACUCACUCUUCGCACGCCUCAUUACAUGAGGAAUGAGAUAGAAAUGUUGAGAGCAUAUACCCAUAAUAGUUACGUUUUUGUUGCUCGUACAUCACUACUACAAUAUUAACUUUAGGUGGCGGAUGAUGCUGGUGGAUAUUAGAAAAAUCCUGUCAGAUAAAAUAUAUCCGACACAUCAUUUAAUUAGUUGCGGAUAUUAGAAAAAUCAUGUCGGUUAAAUCUGACAUAAAGUACUGGCGGAUAUUUAAUGGCAGAUAUCAAAAAAAUCUUGUCGGUUAUAACCGACAUUAUUUUUUAAUCCUUUUUUUUUUAAUAUUUUUGAAGAUUCUGGCGGUUUUUAGGUUAAUGGUGGCGGUUAUAACCGACAUAAAUUGACUAUUUUAUUAUUUUACUUUCUGGCUGUCACAGCCCGUCCCGGAAUUUUUAAUUCCGAGGACGUGAAGUUACGAAAAUGUCCCUAAACGGGACUAAAGUGCGUAAUUUGGACACUUGUUUUUACUUAAGGUUCUUAAACUUUGGUGAAUUAGAAUAUUAAUUGGUUUUAGAAACCUAAACCAAGACUUUAUGUUAAAGAUUGGUUCAUGAUGAGUUAAGGGAAUUGGAAAUUCAGUUGAAAGAAUUGGUUGAUAAAAGUUUCAUUCAACCUAGUACAACACUUUUGAGGAGCACCAGUUUGUUGGUGAGAAAGAAAAUGGACUUGGAGAUUGUUCAUUGAUUAUAGACAAUGGAAUUGGUAACGAUCGAGAACCGUUAUCCAUGAUAGUGUACUGAUGUUUAGUUGAUAAGCUCAGAGAUGUUUGUGUAAUUUCAAAGAUUGAUUGAGGUCUGGUUAUUACCAAUUGAAGAUUUUGAGCGACAUUGAUCAUAAGAUGGUUUUCUGGAUUUGUUAUGAUCUUUUAUGAGCUUUGGUGAUGCUAUAAGAAAACUCAUGCUGUUUUAUGAGUUGAUGGAUGAAGUAUUCCAAUAAUGCCUUGAUAAAUUGAUAUCAUUUUCAUUGACGAUAUUCUGGUAUACUCUAAGCCUAGAGCAGAGCAUGUUAGAUAUUUUAAGUUGAUGUUACAAAGUUUGAGAGAACGUUGGUUGUAUGCUAAGUAGCAAAUGCUAAAGUUAGAUGAAUCAGGUGGCAUUCUGAGAUUUGUUAUAUAUCUUAAGGUAUUCAAGUGAAUCCUUAAAAGAUAGCAGAAAUUGAGAAUUUGGAACAACCACGAGUCGUAAUUGAGAUUUGGAAUUUCUUAGCUUACCAGGCUAUCUUGGAUGGUUGUGAAAGAUUUUUCAGUCAUUGCUUUGUCAUUGACGAGACUGUUGAGAAAAGAGGUUAUGUAUGAGUGGGAAGGAAUUGUAAGCAAAGGAUUCAACAACUGAAGUAUUUCCUCACUCAUGCACGUAUUUUAAUAUUCCCAGAAGAUAGCGAUAAUUAUCGGUAUAUGGUGAUGUUACAUUAAAUGUUCUUGGAUAUGUAUUAAUGCAAAUGUUAGGGUGAUUGCAUACGUUUCACGACAAAUGGAAUCUCAUGAGAUGAAUUACCCUACUAGUGAUUUGGAAGUCACGAUUACCAUCCUUGCUGUGAAGUUAUGGAGACAUUCUAUGUUGAUAAGAAUGCAAGAUUUUACAAAUCAAAAGAGUCUCCAAUAUCUGUUUGCUCUGAAGGAUUUUAAUAUAAGGCAGCGAAGGUGAAUUGUAUUGCUUAAUGAACAUGAUUGUACGAUCAGGGCGAUCGUAAAGUUUAUUCUAGCUGAAGUAACCAUUUGCACAGUACGGAAGCUUUAAUUAUACAAUUUAUAAGUUGAUACACCCGAAGGUGCGUCCUAAUUUGGUCCAUUCUGUCAGAACCCCGCUGAAUUCCUCGUAGUCACCACACCUUUGUGAUUCCUGAACCUGGAGGGGCGCAAAACCAAAAUUGAGUGGGUCAGUAAAACAAUUCUUUUCCAAAUCCAAACAUUUCUCAAAACGUUGUAACCCCUCUCCGUAAAACUUGUAUACUUUCCCAGAAAUGUAAAAUAUAAAUAUACAUAUAUAUUCUCAAAACUUCAUUUUUACUAUCUCAACAUUUUUCUUUAUCAAUCAUGCCAUGCCAUGUCUAAUUCAACAGUUAAGUAUGGAUGCAUCAACAAUAAUCAUAUCAGGUGCAAGAAAGUAAUCAACCGGAGGCCCUCUAAUAGCCCUGUACGGUUGAACCUAGAGCUCAAAAUCUAUCACUCUCACUCUGCCGGAGUCACCUCUGUGACCUGUCCGGCCUUCUGCACACAAGUUACGCUCUAGUGCUUUCUCAUCAAUCAUCUGUGCACAUAAUCUAAGGUCACCCACCAGUCGAAAUCUCACUAACACUCUACGACUGGCCCGUCACACCCACUCCGCGUGGACUGUGCGACCAGCAUCUACUUGGAUCCAAGGCGAGCGUGCGAUGCGGUGAAUACUAUAAGCACUAAACCAUGGUGCAGGAUUUGAGCUCAAUAUAUAUCAACAUCAUCAUAACAGUAUUUAAAUACUCACCUGAUACUCACCUGUGCGUCCGCCGCACCAAUUCAUACAUAUGCAUCAUAUAUCAAUUCAUACUUUCCAUAUCAUUUCAUGCAUGGCAAUUCGAUUCACAUUUCUAUCUACUUUUCACAUACUUUCAUGCAUGGCAUUUCAACUAAUAUAUCUCAUAUACUUUUAUACAUUUUCAUUAAAAGCAUAAUUUCAUGCAUUUUCAAUUUCUGGGAAACGGCAAGUAUAUAUGUAUACGGAAAACAAAACUGCCCACUCACCUGGAGUUCGCCCUACAACUCCCUAGCACAAUACGCCAAGGCGUCAUGACGAUCGGCGCCUAAAACAAUAAUCAAUUCCAACCUCAGAAUUCAUAUCGAUAGAAUAUAUAACUUAUAUAAAAUACGUCACUACGUAGAUUGAUCCGGAAGAUCCACCACUCAGAUUUUAAAUCCAUAACUUCCAGAGGUCCACAUAAUACCUCUAGGACAACAUCCUAAAAUUUCAUUACCAUCCAACGGUCGGAUCUCCGUCAAUUUCCAAAACUAAGUGACGGUUACAUUCUAUUUUAUGAACUUACAACUCCAAUUCCGGAAGAUCCGUAAAUCGGAUUCCCAAUUCGUAAGUUCCGUCCCGGAAUUUUUAAUUCCGAGGACGUGAAGUUACGAAAAUGUCCCUAAACGGGACUAAAGUGCGUAAUUUGGACACUUGUUUUUACUUAAGGUUCUUAAACUUUGGUGAAUUAGAAUAUUAAUUGGUUUUAGAAACCUAAACCAAGACUCUAUGUUAAAAGUUUGAAAUUGAGAUUGAGUUGGACACGGGGGAUCCCCACAUCCCUCAAAACCUUCCCCAAUUCCCGUACCUUGUCACUCUCUCUCUCCUCCUUCACGAUUUCUCACUUUCUCUGUCUCUCUCUCCUUCGAACUCACGGACCAACUUCAAAAACACCCAAAAACUUCCACCAACGUCAAGUUUGAGACCACCAUUGGAAUCCUGAGGACUUCACGAUCACGUGGGUACUAAAUUCAGGUGAGAUUCAUUUCAAAAACCCUAGUUUUCAAGGACCCCGUGAUAGUGCACUGUUCAUGCACACGUAAAUCUUGAUGUUUCAGGGAAUUUCAAGCUCACAGUGAGCUUAAGGAAGUCCCAAGGAAGCUCGGAGUGCUUCGUUGGCAUGAAUUGGACGUCGGGAUCACCUAGUUCGAAGGUAGGCCGAUUUCUUGAAUUUUUGAAAGUUUGAUCUCGUAGUUUUUAGGCCCUAAAACUAGUCCAACGUGAAAGUAGAUGUUUAGGGCUUCAAUUUGGUGUAAAAUUCGAGAAAUUUGGAUGAAAAAAGAAGGAGAAUAGUGGAUUUGAAAUAUUCCCCAGUUUCCGGCGACCGGAGUCCGGCGAAGGACCGUCGGAGAAGAAACUGGAAUAUUCCGUUAAUUUUAACGGAAUAUCCUAACGGCAGUAACGGUAUCCGGUUAAGUUUAACAGAAUAUUCCGGGGUUUUAACGGAAUAUUCCUGACAGCGUUAACUGACGCCGUCAGCAUGCGUUGCACGUGGCCGCGCGUGGGGGCGCGUAGGUCCGUGCCACGUCAGGCGCGUGGGGGCGCGUGAGACCUCCAAAAAUUAUUUUAAAAAUAUGGGGAUGAUCCUGAGGUUGUGUAGGUCACAGUGGUAUAUUCAUAUACGCAAUUUGAGCAAUAUAUGAGGAGUUAUUAGCUAAGAGUGGGAUUAUGCGUUAAAUAACGUCAAUUUGGUUACUUCUCGUAUAGGCGAGGAUUAUACGGACAUCGGGCAUGGCCAAAUGAUGCUCAGGGACCUACGAGACGUCGAUGUAAUCUGUGAGUGGGCAGUUUUGUUUUCCGUAUAUAUAUAUAUACUUGACGCUUUCCCAGAAAUUGAAUUAGAAUGAAAUAUGUUUUAAAUGAAAGGUAUAGAAUGAUAUGAAAACGUGAAUUGAAAGAUCAUGCAUAGAAGUAUAUGAAAUAUAUAUGGAAAUGUAAAUUGAAUUGCCAUGCAUGAAAUGAUAUGAAAAGUAUGAUUUGAGAUAUAUGAUGCAUAUGAAUGAAUGGUGCGGCGGACGCACAGGUGAGUAUCAGGUGAGUAUUUAAUUACUGUUAUGAUGAUGUUGAUGUAUAUUGAGCUCAAAUCCUGCACCUUGGUUUAGUGCUUAUAGUAUUCACCGCAUCGCACGCUCGCCUUGGAUCCAAGUAGAUGCUGGUCGCACAGUCCACGCGGAGUGGGUGCGACGGGCCAGUCGAAGAGUGUUAGUGAGAUUUCGACUGGUGGGUGACCUUAGAUUAUGUGCACAGAUGAUUGAUGAGAGAAAGCACUAGAGCGUAACUUGUGUGCAGAAGGCCGGACAGGUCACAGAGGUGACUCCGGCAGAGUGAGAGUGAUAGAUUUUGAGCUCUAGGUUCAACCGUACAGGGCUAUUAGAGGGCCUCCGGUUGAUUACUUUCUUGCACCUGAUAUGAUUAUUUGUUGAUGCAUCCAUACUUAACUGUUGAAUUAGACAUGGCAUGGCAUGAUUGAUAAAGAAAAAUGUUGAGAUAGUAAAAAUGAAGUUUUGAGAAUAUAUAUGUAUAUUUAUAUUUUACAUUUCUGGGAAAGUAUACAGGUUUUACGGAGAGGGGUUACAACGUUUUGAGAAAUGUUUGGAUUUGGAAAAGAAUUGUUUUACUGACCCACUCAAUUUUGGUUUUGCGCCCCUCCAGGUUCAGGAAUCACAAAGGUGUGGUGACUACGAGGAAUUCGACGGUGUUCUGACAGAAUGGACAAAAUUAGGACUCACCUUCGGGUGUAUCAACUUAUAAAUUGUAUCUUAAAGCUUCCGUACUGUGCAAAUGGUUACGUCACUCUCACGUGACGGCCAGCAUGCCCUCCUUCGGGACGGGGUGUGUCACUGGCAGUUAUUAUUUUAGUAUUCUGGCAGUUAUAACCGACAUAAAUGAAAAUUUUAUUAUUUUAAUAUGUUAUAUUGAUUAAAAAUAAAUAAAUAAACACAUAUUAAAAAAAAAAUUUCACUCAUGACCCUAAAGUCUAAUGAACCCAAUUGCCACGAGCCAUAAAUUUUCUAAGAGAAUAAUAACAACAGACUACAAUCUAAAGCUCUAUGAUUUUUGUAAUAAGGAUUAUGCUCCCUCACAGGCAAGCAACAAGAUACAAAGAAAUUCAAACAAUUUUUUUCAAUGCGUCACAAAGCACAUUGUCUGGCACAUAAACACACAUGAACAUCUAGUGUACUCUAUCAUGUCUGAUUUUAUUGUUUUAAAAUGUUAUAUUGAUUAAAAAUAAAUAAAUAAACACAUGUUUUAAACAUUUUUUUUUCACUCAUGGCCCUGUCGGAUAUAACCGACAUGAACAAAGCAAAAUUUUGGAUGGCCGCUAGAAUAAUCUCUGUAUGUUUUUUUUUAUGCAUUUUUUUACACAUGCUAUCUCGGAGUAUAUACAAACAUAUUUGACGGUUAGAUCGUUGAAACUAGUUUCGUAGAAUGCAUAUCCUAUCAAAUUGAUAGAUUUAACAAACACUUAAGAGUUAAUGUUAUACUUCCAAUAAGUAUCCACUAGUGUAAAUAUUUUAAAUUGAAGAUCAAAUUCAUUCAUUGCAUUCUUAUAGGGUCAAGGAGUAUAGCUGUAAAAAAUCAUCAAAAUCGAAGCUAAAAUAACCAUUAAUUUGUGAUUUUUCAUUUAUAACCGUCGAAAACUUUUGUUCUGUUACCUAAUCUCUGAAUGUUUAUUUUUUUGUGAUUUUUUAGUAUGCGAUCUCGGAGUGUGUACAAACAAGUUUGACGGUUAGAUUAUUGAAAAAAGUUUCGUAGAAUGUGUAUCGCGUCAAAAUGGUAGAUUAAAUAAGCACUUAAGAGUUAUGGCACGUUUACGUAAGGGGAGUGGGACAAGAGGAAUGGGAAUUGCACUCCUCCUCGGUUAUUCAAGUGUUUACCAACACUUGAGGGAAUGAAAUGUAUGUGGGACCCAUCUAAUAUGGGGAAUCAGACUCCCAAUUUACCCGGAACCGGUCUCCUAAACAAUAGGUGGUAUUUGAAUUCCGGGUGAAAGCCUCUAUCUGGAAUCCCAUUUUUCUACCCAAAAUACCCUUAUCUCGUCUCCCUUCCAUCUCCUUCUCUGCUUCUCUGUGUCUCUGCAGGCAAUGACCAAUAUCAAAGGAGAAGAAAAAUCAGGAGGUGAAAAAUCAGAAGGGAAGAAGAAGAAGAUGGAAAAAAAAAAUGGAGAAGCUGAAAAGAAUUGGGGAAUAGGGUGGGGUGCGGUGCGGCCUUCACGAGAAAGAAAAAACAAUUGGCGGAUGUAGAAGAAGAAUCACAAGAAGAAGAAUCAGAAGAGAAUAAGAAAAAGAAUCAAAAGGGAGCAAGAAGAAGAAAGGAUGAUCAGAAGAAUGGGAGGCUAAAAAGAUUUGGGGGAUCGCUGAAAAGAAUUGGGCGAUGGGGUGCAGUUUGGGCUCCAGGAGAAAGAAAAAUAAUUAUGGGAUGGGGAAGCAGAGCAAGGAGGAUCUCAGUUGGUUUUUUUAAUAUUAACUAAAUAAAUAUCUUUUUUACAUUUCAAAAAAAAAAUGAUAAACCGUACAAAUUCUUUUUAAAGCUUUUUCACAAAGUUUUUUUUAAAAAAAAAAAUUAUCAAAAAUAUAAAAACCAUAUACUUGGAAUAUGGGCAAUUUAGUAUUUACAUUACUUGGGACAAAGGCAUUUUAGUAAUCAUACUGGUUUAUAUUCCGAUUUUGUUGAAUUAGUAAACAACUUUAUGGAAUUCUAUUCCGAUUCCAGACAGUUUUAGUAAACAACUUCAACAGGAAUCCAAUUCUAAUUUUGCCUCAUUUCAUUUCCUCCUCAAUCCAAUUCCUCCUCAAUUCAUUUCCUCUCAAUUUGAUUUCGGAUUAGUAAACGCGCCAUUAAUGUUAUACUUCCAUUAAGUCACUAGUGUCAAUAUUUUAAAAUUGAAGAUCAAAUUUAUUCAUUACAUUCUUAUAGGGUCAAGGAGUGUAGCUAUAACAACUCAUUAAAAUCGGAGCUAAAAUAACCGUUAAAUUGUGAUUUUUCAUUUAUAACCGUCGAAAACUUUUGUUCCGUUACGUAAUCUCUGAAUGUUUGUUUUUUACAAUUUUUUACGUAUGCAAUCUUGGAGUGUGUACAAAUAAGUUUGACGGUUAGAUCGUUGAAAAAAGUUUCGUAGAAUGAAUAUCGCGUCAAAAUGGUAGAUUAAACAAACACUUAGAGUUAAUAUUAUACUUCCAUCAAGUAUAAAGUAAGACUUGUGGUAUCCACCAGUGUAAAUAUUUUAAAUUGAAGAUCAAAUUUAUUCAUUGCAUUCUUAUAGGGUCGAGGUGUGUAUGUCACAUCCCGACCAGAUGUGCACCACAUCUCGAGCCCGCUCCACCACCGUAGCACGAUAUUGUCUGUUUUGGGCUUACCAUUCCUUCAUGGUUUUGUUUUCGGGAACUCACGAGCAACUUCCCAGUGGGUCACCCAUCCUAGGAAUGUUCUGGCCUUCUUCUCGCUUAACUUUGAAGUUCCUACCGAACCCGAAGCCAGCGAGCUCCCAAAAGGCCUCGUGCUAGGUAGGGAUGUGAAUAUACAUUUAAAGAUCACUCCCCUGGGCGAUGUGGGAUGUUACAAUCCACUCCCCUUAGGGGACCGACAUCCUCGUCGGCACACUUCCGGGCAGGGAUUGGCUCUGAUACCAUUUGUCACAUCCCGACCCGGGGUGCACCACAUCCCGAGCCCGCUUCACCACCGUAGCACAAUAUUGUCCGUUUUGGGCUUACCAUUCUCUCACGGUUUUGUUUUUGGGAACUCAAGAGCAACUUCCCAGUGGGUCACCCAUCCUGGGAAUGCUCUGGCCUUCUUCUCACUUAAUUUCGGAGUUCCUACCGAACCCGAAGCCAGUGAGCUCCCAAAAGGCCUCGUGCUAGGUAGGGAUGUGAAUAUAGAUUUAAGGAUCACUCCCCUGGGCGAUGUGGGAUGUUACAGUGUAGCUGUAAAAAAAUCAUUAAAAUUGGAGCUAAAAUAACCGUUAAAUUGUGAUUUUUCGUUUAUAACCGUCGAAAUUUUUUGUUCCGUUAUGUAAUCUUUGAAUGUUUGUUUUUUACGAUUUUUUACGUAUGCGAUCUUAUAGUAUCUACAAACAAGUUUGAUGGUUCGUUCAUUGAAACUAGUUUUAUAGAAUGCAUAUCUCCGUUAAAUUUGCCUAAAUUUUUAAGUGGGAAAAGUAAUUUGUGCUAAAUUUUUAUUUAUGUUUUUAAACUAUUGAUUAGACAAUAUUUAGUCUGUGUGAUGACAUUUUCAUUGUACAAUUAUCUUUUUAUUUCUUUAUUGCAUAUUUUACAUGGGUUAUUAUUUAUUAAACCAAAUAAUUAUUUAUUUAAUUUUUAAAAAUGUAUUCUAUUUAAAUACAUAUUAUUUAUUAAACCAAACAAUUAUUAUUUUAUUUUUUUUAAAUCGUAACAAAAUUUGGGGGGGAACUAAAAUUUUGGGAAGAAAUGUUGUCGGUUAUAACCGACAGUAAUGAAAAUGUUUUUGUCUAUUUUAUAUUUUUAAAAUAUUUAUGUCGGUAACCGACAGUAAUGAAAUUUUCCAGAAUAAAAUGACACUCUCAUUUUACUCACUACAAAACUCUCUCUCCUCCCUCACAUUCACCCCCAAAACCCUCUCUCUCUCUCUCUCUCUCUCUCAGAACCUCGGGAAUUCAAACAGCGCCAGCCAUGGCGGACAAGGAGAACUGCUUGCGCGUCAUGAGGUCGAUGAAGAGGAGGCCCGAGGCUGCAGUGACCCCGGAGCAGCCGUCCACCAAAAAACGUGUGGUGUUAGGAGAGCUCCUGAAUGCCGUUGUUCUGACGAAUAAAAUGUCCGGGGCGGAGAAGCAAAUCCAGAAACCCGGCGCCAAAGGCAAGGCGAAGAAAGCAGUGCCCCUGACCAAAACGAUACAGCAGCCGGAGGCGGCCAACGACGUUGAUGCAGUGUCGGAUGACCCCCAAAUGUGCGCACCGUAUGCUCGUGACAUUUAUGAGUAUCUUCAGAAGCUCGAGGUAAAGGGUUAUCGAAUUGCAGCUUUCUUUUUUAAAUUAGAAUUUAUUGGAAAAAUGGGAGCUGGGUUUUGUUGAUUUUUGGGUUCUUAAUUUAUCUAUGGGUUCUGGUUGCAUUGAAAUUUGAAUUAGGGAUAAAGGCUAAAGCUUUCUGGUGAUUAGUUUAUGUCAUUUUUUAGUAGCCAAAGAUUAAGCUAUAUAUAGGAACUUCUGGAGUAUCUGUAGUCUGGUAUUGGUUUGAAGUGGAAUUUAAUGGAAAAUUGGAGGUGGGUUUUGUUAAUGUUUUGGCUUUCAAUUUACUAGCGGUUCUUCUGGUUACUCUGAAAUUUGAAUUAAGGAUAAAGGCUGAGGCUUUCUGGUGAUAGUUUAUGCAACUUUUGAUUAGCAAAAAGUUUGACGCUAAUUUAGCAAGUCUCGUAGUCUCUGUAUUUUGUUUUGGUUUGAAUUCGAAUUUGGGGGUUAUUUUGGGUUUUGGGGCAUCUGGGCUAAUGGUGAUGAUGGGUUACCAUUCAGGCGGAUGAAGAUCAAAGACCUUCUGGUGGAAAUUUAAGUAGUUUGAGUAAAAAUUUCUUUGUGCCGCCAUUUCCAAAAGAUUUUAUCACUUUACAAGGCUUUGUCCUUUAUAGAAAGUGAUUGGUAUAAUAAACCUGGAGAAUAAAAUUGUGCUCACCCUUAGAGUUGGGCUUUGGAGUGCACUAAUUAAUUGAUAAUUAAUUAUAAUUAAUAUAUAUAUAUAUAAUUAAUUAUCAAAAGAUGGGCCUUAGAAUGCACUAAUUCUAAAUUAAUGUCAGUAAUAUCUUGUUAUUAAGAGGAAUAUGAUAGACUAUUCUAAAUUAAUGUCACCUAUAUAGGAGUAAAUGGGGCCACAUUUAUGAGAAUUGACAUGGCUAAAUUCUCUAAAGCUCCUACGAAAUCCGGGAUCUGUUUAGGGCCAAAAUGAACACAACCGUAUGAAUUUACGUGUGGCAGACAUGAUAUGUGUGUACAUAUUGUCUCGGUUUACUACUGCAGUUGGACAGUUGAAGAUCUUCCAUAUCCAUUGCGUCACCAAGUAAACCUGAUAUGUUUUCACUAGGGUAAGUUCAAGUUCAAAAGACACUUCACUCAAUGCAUAUCAUGUCUAUUCUCUCUCAGUUUUAGGCAGCCUAGUCAUCCAUUUGCAUUUACAUUUGCAUUCAAAUGUGGGGUAAUUGAUGGAGUUUGAAUGAAAUUUCAACUCAAAUGUGGGGUAUUGUUGGAAAUUUGAGUAGUUUGAGUAGAAAGUGAUUGGAGUAAUAGGCCUAGAGAAUACAAUUGGGCUCACCCUUGGGGUUGGGCUCACCCUUGAGGUUGGGCUUUAGGGUACACUAAUUAAUUGGUAAUUAAUUAUAAUUAAUAUAUAUAUAUAUAUAUAAUUAAUUAAUUAUCAAAAGAUGGACCUUGAAAAUUAAAUUCUUUAAUUAAUUAUUUUUAAUUAAUUUCGAAUUAAAUUAAAUUAAUUUUUAUUUGAACAGACUCAUCUUUUCAGAAGAAGUCUGAAGUCAAUAAAAACGCAGAAAGCAUUGCACCCUAUCUGAAGAGAUGUCUCCCAAUAGUCACAUCUCAUUUUUAUACCUGUUGCGAACAGGUAUAAUUCCUCUAUAUAUACAUCCGUCUGCAUGGCAUUUAGGAUACAGAAAAACAAAAAUCUCCUUCUAUAAUCCAUAGCAUUCUUACUGAGAGUACCACAAGGAAAUUCACCAGAAGUUAAGUUUUCCAGUGCUGGAAUUCUAACUUAGAUCGUUGAAUCCUGGUGAAGCAGAUGUCCGUAGAACUAUAAGCACUAAGUAGGGACGAAAUUUUGUUUCAAUGACAUUGCGGUACGCAAGCCUCGAUCUUCAAGUUGUUUGUUUUAUAUUUUUGUUUAUUGAUACUCUGUUAAAUUUUUAUAUUUGCAUUUAUUGUUUAUUAGCAUAUAUAUAUAAAUCACAGAUUGUUGACUUAUAUCCAUGACUUUCACCCGAUUACAUGACAAAGAUUCAAUACUGCCAAUAUGAGAGGAGUCUUAAUGGACUGGUUGGUUAAUGUUGCAGAGGAAUAUAAACUCCUUUCUGACACUCUUUUCCUCUCCGUUAUGUAUAUUGAUAGAUUCCUAUCUGUGAAUGUAGUGAAUAUAGAAGGAUAUGAAAAAUGCAGAAAGUGGUUUAUACUUUUUUUAUUAUUAAUAAAUUUUCUGUCGGAUAAUAUAGAAGGAUAUGAAAAAUGCAGAAAGUGGUUUAUACUUUUUUUAUUAUUAAUAAAUUUUCUGUCGGUUUUAUCCGACAAUAAUGCUUUUAUUUAUUCUUAUUAAUAAAUUUUCUGUCGGUUAUAUCCGACAGAAAUGCUCAUAUUUAUUUAUUAUUAAUAUAUUCUUUGUCGGUUUUAGAGUAUUUUAUGUCGGAAAAUUCAUUUCCUGAGGCUGACAAUUCUAUCGCUUAUUAUAUCGGCCACUGCAUCCAUUGUUUGUCGGAUUUUGCUUAAAAUCUGACAGUAAUAUACGUUUUUUGUCGGUUUUUGGACCGCCAGUUAUAGAUAAUUUUGUAGUAGUGCAUGCUAGAUAUUGAACUACGGUAGCGUCAAUUUACAAAUGAACGAACGUUUUUAUAUAACUAUUGAUGCUUGUAAGCCAGACAAUGAGAAUUGAUCAAUUUGUGAUUAUGCUACAACAAUUUGUUAUCUAUCCAUUUAGUAUUUAUUUUCUUAAAUAAAAUUGUGGGAAGACAUUUUACGGAAAAUAAUACAAGGAUAUAUUUAGAAAUGAAUAAAUUAGUAUUUAACUUUAAAAUUGAAAUAUGCUUACAUGUCAUUUAAUAUUCAAUAAUGCACCUAGCCUUGAUCAAAAAAAAAAAAAAAAAAAAAAAAAAAGAGGAAUGAGAACCUAAUUUAUCCUAUAGCUUACUAUAUGACUUAUGUAGGUGCAGUGUUCUAUAGAAAGUGGUUACUUAUUGGAGCAACCAAGAGUUUAUUUAUUUAUUUAUUUAUUUUUUGGAGUUAAAGUACGAUAUUCUUUGACAAUGAAGGAAUAUGUACAACUAGUAAGGAUAGGGUGCUAACAAGAGAUUUCAACUCAGUUGAAGAGAAAAAUAGCAUGUAAAAAAUUACAUCAAGGAGGUUCUUCAAACCACGUUACAUUGUUAUCUAGAGUCAACCAAGAGUUAAUCAUUCAAAAUAGAAGCAAUAACUGGAAAGGAAAGGAAAAAAAUUGGAACGAACUACCAAAAUAUAUAGAUCAAUUGAUUCCCCACGCUCACCAAGAUUGUAGUAGUUAUCCAUCACCAUCCUCCUUCCUGUAUUGUUACGAGAACCGUAACAGUAAAAGUCACAUUUCUUCUUCAACUCUGCACAGAACAAAGCUUUUAGCCCUUCAGCUUCCUCACCAGGCAAUCAUUCAAGGUCUCAGUCCAGGGUUUGCAAGAGGUUAGUUGACAUUUCAUUCAACCAAGUAAUCUUAUUUUAUUGAGAAGAUUUGGACUAUUCAGAAUAUUCAAAUGAGGAUUUGUGCACUAAUCGUAUUAUUUGAAGGAGGAUAUAAGUAUCACUUAUAGGAUCGUUCCCUUACGUAAAUGUAUAAUGAGAAAUGUCCUAAAAGACGUUAGGCUUUAGUCAGGCGGCGAGCUGGGCCCUAAUGCCUAGUGCCUAAGCAGAACUAAGUGGCAUUGUCGACUCUGUAAGCGACUUGUUGCAGAAGUUCAAAAUGGAGUCAAAUGGAUUUUGUAUUGGUUUCGGGUUGUUGAAGGCGAUGAUUGAUUUUGCAGUCCUGCCUAACUUUUAUAUGCAAGAGAAGGGAGAGGGAAGUCUGGAGUGGUGGUUGAGUGGUGGCACUGCAUGUGGGUACUAAUUUUAAUUUUCUUAUUUUAGUUUGUAUAAGGGGUAAAAUAGGAAUUGCAAAAAAAGUUUUUUUUGUAGCUGGAUGUAGAAAGAGUUUGGUUGGGUCUAAAUAAAAUUACCCUUAUGCAAAUUUGUAGGUCAUUUCCCCUCUUGAUUUUUAUAGUUUUUAAAUUUUGUUUAAAUGGUCGACAUAAUGGGCACAAUAACAAUAAAUGUGCUAACAUGGAUGGGAAAGUAAUUUGACAACUUUGUCAGAACGGAGUCAAAACACCCUUUAUUUGUGCUAACAUCAUGAGCACAAAACUCCGUAUUGUGCCCACUGAACAAAGGGCACUCCCAUAGUGGGCACACGUAAGAUUUUGGUUGCUGCAUUGUUGCUAUUGCUCUAAAGGCACAUAUGUUUGUGCCCUUAGGCCUUAUAGGGCAAAAUAUGUUUUUGAGCAUAGUGCCCAUAUUUUUUGUAGUGUAACCUUUUUGACCUUCGAGCUUGCUUAAAGUGUGACUUAUCACGCUGAAUAUUGAAUAAUAAUCAAAUUUCAUGAACUGAACAGCAAGUUAACCACAAAGUGGUAAAAUGGGAGGGGAGUUACCAACUAGUAUAUAUGUACCUCUUGAUCAAUCAAAAAGAUUCAACGAGAGUUUUCCUCACAACUAACCAACCCAGAAAGGAGAUUCCAUUGACCUAUAGUAGUAUUAAAGUUUCCUUUUUCAUUUACAAUUUAAGGCAACGUAAAGACAAUUUCUCUAACUUGUUUUUCUCGAAGAUAAAGACUUGCAGUAACAAUUUCUUAAAUAGAAAUGACGCCUCCAUAACAAUGUGGUAGUUCAUAAACGUCUAUCUUGCAAGAAACAACUAUCCAACUCAAGUUCUUGUACUCGAACUUGAAUCCUUUGCGAAUUGAAUUGUGUUCCUCAAAAGUAUUUUGCCAUCCUUCUUAAAAUUAGACUGGUGCUACACCCACUCUCAUUUCCAAUCUCUCCACCUACCAUAUUAUUCCCGCCCUUAUAAAAAGUUAAAAGCUAGCUAUCUAUAUGGGAAUAUUUUGAUAAAUGUCCUUUUCUAUAUCCUCAAAAAGACUUUCCUUACUUACCUUUCUCACUCGGAUGCCAUGUGAGCUUUAUUUAUAUCUAAAUUUAUGUAUUAAUUGAUUAUAAAAUUUCUUGCUUAUCUUUCACUUAUGACCCUUAUUAAAUUUCAGAUGCCAAUUAAAAAUUUAGUAUUAGGAAAAUGCAAGGGACACAACUUUUUUUUUACCAAGUUUGUGUAUCAUCUAAUGUUGCAAGUGAUAUGUAUAUAUCACGUCAAUUAAUGAAUUUAUCUCAUUGAAUGUUGAUUGUGUGCAUCAUUUGUCGCAUAUGAUGAUAUACUAAUGUGAUGUGGUCUCCCUAACCCUCUUAAUAUCAUUCAUCGAAUUUGAUUAGGGUAAUCUCCUUAUUUCUAUAAUUAAUAUUAUUUUUUAUACAUGGCUACUUUGUUAUGGACUCUUUUUAUUUUAUUUUAUUUUCCUUCUUGUUUGACACUCUCUCGUUCCCUUCUUCCAUUUAAAUUCUUUUUCUUCGUUUAAAAAUGUUUUUGACGUCUAUCUUUGCCGUUGUUCUUGUUCAAAGGUUGGUUUAGGGUUAGGUCCUUCAUUUUUUUCCUCUUGCAGCGUAUGGCACCCAUCUAGCAUCUACUGUGAGUCUAUGAGCAAUAUAUUAGAAUUAUAUAAUUUUCUGUACACAUCUCGGCUUAAAAGAUUAGACUUGUAUAAGAGUACAAAAUUAAUGAUAUAAACACUAAGAAAAAAGGGUCCUUAAAAAUACUAAUAAAAAUCGCACUGCAUGCUGAUUCGCCCAUAUUCCCUGAUUUUAGUGUGUGUUUUCUACCUUGGCACAUUGGACCACCAUUGUACGUGAACAAACAAAAAUGUGAUUAUAAUAAGGGUUCUUUAGAUAUAAGCUCAUGCAACACUUAUUUCCUUAACAAAAAUCCAUCUCGUUUUAAACAUCCAAAUAAAACCUAAAUUUGAAAUAAAUUGCCAUGUAAACAAAUAAAUACCUAUUAUUUUUAAAAUAUUUACAAUUGUGCGACAACACCCUAAUUAUGUUGAUGAAUUUAAUUACCACCAUAAUUAUAGCAAAUAGGUGCUUUAUUAUUACAAAAGUAUCUACUUUAUACUUGUCUUACCAUCAUCUGUUCCAUUUCUUUUUUUUGUUUGACAAUCAUUGUAGGUAAAUUAUUUUGCAUGUAUACGUUAUUCACAUUUUGUUGUUAUUAUAUUUGUGUGGAAUAAAUUACCUAUAUUUUUAAGUAGAAUAAAGGUAAUUGAUUAACUUUGAAUCAAUUGGCUAAAAACAUCCUUUGGUUUUGUAGGUAAAUAAUUUUGCAUGUAUUAUUACAUAUACUAGGCACAUUUGUUAUUAUUAUGUGUUGUUUGCAAUCAAUCAACAUUCAUUUAUUCAGUAGGUAAAUUACAAAAGUAUCCACUUUAUACUUGUCUCACCAUCAUCUGUUCCAUUUCUUAUAUUUGUUUGACAAUCAUUGUAGGUAAAUUAUUUUGCAUGUAUACAUUAGGCACAUUUUGUUAUUAUUAUAUCUGUGUGAAAUAAAUUACCUAUAUUUUUAAGUAGAAUAUAGGUAAUUAAUUAACUUUGAAUCAAUUGGCUAAAAACAUCCUUUAAUUUUGUAGGUAAAUUAUUUUGCAUGUAUUAUUACAUAUACUAGGCACAUUUGUUAUUAUUAUGUGUUGUUUGCAAUCAAUCAACAUUCAUUUAUUUUGUAGGUAAAUUAUUUUGCAUGUAUUAUUACCAAGGAAGAAAAUAUCGGUAAUAUCGGAAAUAUCGGUAGUCCGAAAACACGGAAAUAUCGAUGUAAAUAUCGGGAUAAUAUCGAUAUCGAUAAAAAUUACAUGGAAACCACGGAAAUUGUAAGAAAAACUUGGGAAAUUUUUAUUGAAACUUUGCAGGAUGUUUAUUUAGUCAAUUAUCUAUUAGUUUAUCACAAAAAAUUGGAAGGAAAUGCAUUGCAUGAUGGAUUUAACAUUAUCAAGUUGAUUAUAUAGCGAGCUGACAAACAUUGUGAGCGUAGAAAAUAUGUAGUAAUUAAUGAAAGAAGUCUAAACACACCAUAAUCAUUUAUAUAUAAUGAAUUAGUACAAUAUUUUACACUUUAUACAUUGCAUUUUUGGUUCUUCUCUGACAGAAUUUGGUCUUCACGUGGAGAAGAAGAUAAAGUAAGCAUAUUUUUUGGUUCUUCUCUGACAGAAUAUUUGGUUCUUCUGAGCAAAGUCACUUCCAAAUCUUUCAUACAAAAUCGUGUGCCACACACACACACCCUCAAAGUUUUUUUCUUUUUCUCUCAGAUAACACACAUACACACACACACACACACACACACACACACAAAACCAUGGUUUCAUACAAAACUGUGUGCCACACACACACACACCCUCAAUGUUUUUUUUUUCUCUCGGAUAACACACACACACACACACACACACGCACAUGCACACACAAUCUCUCGAUCCUUCUCCCUCAUUCCACACACACACGCACACACACCCUCCCUCUCCUUGUUUCUUCUCCAGUUCUCCCCCCCAUCUCUUUUCUGCAUCUCUCAUUCCCAGAGGAGACAGACACACACACACCCCACUUCCCCGUGUUUCCCCCUUCCCCAAUCCCUCGAACCUUCUCCCUCAUUCCUCUCCUUGUUUCUUCUCCCCCCAUUUCUGCAACUCUCCUUCCCGGAGCACAGCCACACCACACCCACACGAGGCGGAUGAUCCAUCAAACUCGAGCGGGUUUUGGGAUCCGGAGAGAAGGGAUUGCGGAUUUUGAUGGGUCUGAGCGCGGAUUGCAGAGAGAGGCGCAGAUCUUGGCAGCUGUGACGACGGAGCCUCGGCUGCAGUUUUUCGACGACGGAGCCUCGGCGAUUUUGUCAAUAAUAUCGAAAAUAUCGCGAUAUUAUCGAUAUUAUCACGAAAACCAUUUGGAUAGUUAUACAAAUAUCGGUCCCCUUAAAAACCGAUAAUAUCGGCGAUAUAUCGCCGAUAUUAUCGACAUUUUGUUCCUUGAUUAUUACAUAUGUUAGGCACGUUUUGAUAUUAUUAUAUAUAUGUGUAUGCAAAUAGCUUAAAUAACUUUUGAAUCAAACAAUAUUUAUUUAUUUAUUACAUAGGUAAAUUAUUUUGCAUGUAUUAUUUUACCUGGAACUUAUAUUGUUAUUUUAUAUAUGUAAAAUAUUGGUAAUUUUGAAUAAAAUAACAUUUGUAUAUUUGUGAAUAAAUGCUAAUUUACUUGUUACAAUUAUUUGAAAGGAAAAAAAUGCUCAUUUUUACAUAAAUGUGAAAACAACCUGUUGACCCUAGAAAUUACAAAGCCUACGUGGCGCGCAGGCCGAAUAUAUUAUAAGCUAACUAUGUCCUUCGGUGAUUGCGGGGCGUGCCAACUCGUCGGCCGAGGCUCGGUCGAGGAGUAAAUUUGAUGAUGCUGCAUUGGGUCGCGCUACUGACUUCUGCGUCUUGCGAUUGCGGCCGAGAAAGGAACGCGUCUCGGCCUCUUGGGUUCUCGAGCCUGAAGACAAGGCUGCUAUUUCUUACAAAGUUCACGAACCGAAUUCGGCUUGCAAUGUGCCGAAUGUAAUAACUGUAACACCUCACCUCGCCGAGAAGGCUAAUGAGAUGACCUCGACCAACAAGGAUUCGAAAACCCUUCUCGACCGAGACUUGGAUAGGCAAUCGACCGUUCUCGCCGCAGUGCUGUUGAUGCCAACGGAAGAUACUGCGAGACCGACCGACUCUACGGUGACAGAGCUAUCUAUGCCGACUUAAGAUAUCACCGGUUGCUUCCACAGUGCUGUUGAUGCCAACGGAAGAUGUGUCAGCGAAAAAGGAAAAGAAAAAAGAUCUCAAGUUGUGAGAGUUUGCGCAGGGCAAUUUUUGUGUUCAUUCGCAGGGCUUUUCCUGAUGCCCAGCGUCCCCUUUUUAUAGUACUGAACCUUGAGUCCGAGUUUAAAUCCUACUCGGACUAGGUUUCCCUAUCCGGAUCACCUCGACCAGUCCUACAUCUACUAGGACUAUGAACCUAGUCCUUAGCUAAGCUGGAUUAGUUUCCUGGAUAUCCGAUCCCGUCGAGACUCCCCAUUGCACUAGGAUUCGUCCUAACCGCCCUAGGUUUGGACGCCCACGUGUUGACCGAUCCAUGGUCCUUCUGCCGCCCGGCCUCCUGGACCGAAAGUGAUCCUACCCUCGGCCCAAGCUAUUAUUUUGGGCCCAAACAUUGCCCCCUCGCUUCUGAGGUCCUCGGCCUGAAACCUUCGGCCGAGUUUCGGCCUUGAAGAAGCGAAUCUACCACUCAGGAUCCUAAUACCCGAGUUCCAAGGCGCAUUUAUUGAGCACGAUCGCACGAUCUUGAUCCUGCUAACCCACUCGCCACAUGGCGCCCUCUAACAUGACCAAUCCCCCAUAAUGACGUCUAAGGCGUGCGGCAGCCUGAACCGCCUUGCCAUUAUGACCACCAUCUCAAUCCGCGAGCCACUACCUCAGUCCGUGAGCCCACUUGUCAUCGUGCGGGUGUCAAACAGUCUUUCGUCAUUAAUUUCGCCGUCACACGCAAUCAUACGCCCCCAAAACCCUAAAACCUUCGGUCUUCUCAACCGCGUUCCCCAAAGGUUCAUUAUGAUCAGUAACUCCUUCGGUCGAUUUUGCCCAAAGGCUCUUGUAUAACUAGCGGGGAUAAUUUGCUUUCGGCCUCUUGCCUGAAAUGUUCAAAACGUGCCUUCAUUUCCCCUGGUCGAAUGAGAAGUUUGAUCCGCUUAUCAGCUUCUUCAAACAUGGUCUCGACGUCUUGAUCGACCAGCCGUUUCCCCUGAGCCAACUCUGUCAUAAUUGGUGAAGGUGGUCGCUCCUCAUUAGUGGCAACUGUAUCCUUCGGUCGCCACUUAGGGGCCGAAGUUUCUUGGGCUGCUUGUCGGCGAGCCAUGCAAUCUAUCCGUUGAUGCCGGCGUUUCUGAGAUUUGGACAACGCGGUGUAAACGCCCUUCGAAGAAUGGUAUGUAUACCAACGUUGAUCUCUAGGCUCGGGAGGCUUGAAGGUCUUUUGACUCCGUGAUGAUCCUGAACUGCUAGAAUUACGCUUAUAGUAAUCAUCGUCAUAAAAUGAAGCAUCAAAAUCAAGGCGCCGCCUGACCGGGGGUGUAUCUUCCAUCCGUACUUUAGGACCGAACCUCUCAAAAACCCCGUGAUGGUGGCCUUCAUUGGCUACCUUUUGCCGAGUUGCGGCCACAGGCUCCGAAAAAGGCUUCUCCUCUGAUUCACUGUCGACCUUCGCUCUACAUUUCCUGCACAAAACCGCCGUCCCACUAUCUUCAUCAGUACUAUAAUCCAUCAUAGAUUUGACAAUAGCGGGCCCCGUUAAAGCCGUAGGUGGUUUAUUUGAACGAAAAUCGGCCAUGAACCGUGGCCGAACAUUCUGAUUCCGCGAGCGUUGUGUCUCAACCACUUUAGCCUUGCCUUUCCCUUUGUCCUUGGGUAGGUACGCGUCGACCAUGUUUACUGUUGCCGUGGGGAAUGGAUCAGUAUCCACACUCAUCUUUUUUUCGGGGAAUUUCAGUUUGCCAUUGUCAAUCCAGUUUUGAACGUUGUCGCGAAAUACGACACAAUUGUUUGUCGUAUGUUUGCUUGAAUUGUGGUAUUUGCAAUACACAUUCCCUUUAAGCUCUUCGGCCUUAGGAAUGUUGUGACCAGGCCGAAGCUUGAUAAUUCUUGCGGAUAACAAUUGGUCGAAGAUUGCGUCAGCCUUGGUAAUAUCAAAAGUGUAGACCUUUGAUGGUUUCAACACUCCUUCAGCGGCCGAGCGACUUUUGACUUCUCUAGAAUCAACCUGAGUUAAUGCCUUGCAAACGUAUGGCUUAUCUAUCACUAUCUCGGCCGCAUCCACACUGACGCAUUCAUCCUCGGUUGACGCAUAGCUGACAGUAGGAUUUUUGUACAACGUCCCCCGAGAUGGCGUUUUCGAAACCUUCUCCUCACGGAGCAAGUAGUCGUACUGUUCAACAUGCUGGGCUAAUUCAUACAUGUCCCGAAAGUUUGCCCCCAGGAAUUUCUUUUUGUAUUCGAUGUCGAGGCCGUUCAAAGCAAGCCUGACAAAUUUGACUUCGGGUAAGGGCACUCGGCACCAAUUCCGGGCCGAUUUGAACCUAGUGAGAUAGUCCAUUGGUGAUUCAUCAGAUGCCUGAGCCAUCCUUGCUAAUGAAGAAACUGACAUCUCCAUCCCUGGUCGAUAAAACUGCUCAUGAAACUUCUCGACCAACUCUUCCCAGUUCUGGACGGAAUUGGGGGGUAGAUUAAUGUACCAAGCAAAUGCCGAGCCGGUCAAUGAGAAGUUGAAUAGCCGUAACUUAUGAAAGUCGCUAUUGACAUCUCCGCAUUGCGCGGUGAAACGAGCCACGUGCUCCAACGAAGAUAAAGACGAUUCACCGGCAAAAAGACUAAAAUCUGGGAUCUUGAAACCCUUCGGGUACCCAAACGAUUCCACGUAAGCUGGGUACGGAUGAAUAAACUUAGGAAACUUCGGCCCUUUCUUCAUGGCCGAGUCAAUCAUCCGCUGAACUUCGGUCAUAUCAACAGGUGUUGCUUCGACCCUCUGGUCGGUCCCGUCUGACCUACUAUUCGACCCUCCUCCUUUCUCCAAGUUAAUUGGUUUGAGCAGGGCAGGAAUAGGCUCGGCCGGUACAAUCGGUGCCGGGUUGUUUCCUGGUAAACAAGGUUGGCGAAGAUCGAAAGGCCUGCUGCCACCAACUUUACUAACCAGCAUUUCGAGCAGCUUGGUUUGCCGAUCAUUGGCACUGAGUAUCGCGUCAUGCAGCUUGUCAAUGCCUCGACUGAACGUCUGCUCGACUGACCGAGACUGCUCGUCCAGUCGCUUUCGGAGAAACGACCUCGUUGGUGGGUCUGAUCCUUCACCACCAUCCUCGUCAUACUCCUCUAUUAUCCCUUCAUUGAGAACGCAUGCGUUUCUGUUAGGGAUCUCUAAACCACGGAGUUGACCGCCGAGAUUAACUUCUCUUUCUCGGCGAGUCGCGCUCGUGGACUCAGGUGUACCAACGCUAAGGGGAUUCUGCGCCUGUGGCACACUCUGUCCUAUGCUCUGACUCGGUAAAUCGGCUGUCGACUUUCCCAUAGCUGUUUUCUUUUUUACCGAUCGUGUUUCAAUUGGCAUGAACUUCGUAGUUUAGCACUGGGUCCCACUGGGCGUGCCAAAAUGUUGACCCUAGAAAUUACAAAGCCUACGUGGCGCGCAGGCCGAAUAUAUUCUAAGCUAACUACGUCCUUCGGUGAUUGCGGGGCGUGCCAACUCGUCGGCCGAGGCUCGGCCGAGGAGUAAAUUUGAUGAUGCUGCGUUGGGUCGCGCUACUGACUUCUGCGUCUUGCGAUUGCGGCCGAGAAAGGAACGCGUCUCGGCCUCUUGGGUUCUCGAGCCUGAAGACAAGGCUGCUAUUUCUUACAAAGUUCACGAACCGAAUUCGGCUUGCAAUGUGCCGAAUGUAAUAACUGUAACACCUCACCUCGCCGAGAAGGCUAAUGAGAUGACCUCGACCAACAAGGAUUCGAAAACCCUUCUCGACCGAGACUUGGAUAGGCAAUCGACCGUUCUCGCCGCAGUGCUGUUGAUGCCAACGGAAGAUACUGCGAGACCGACCGACUCUACGGUGACAGAGCUAUCUAUGUCGACUUAAGAUAUCACCGGUUGCUUCCACAGUGCUGUUGAUGCCAACGGAAGAUGUGUCAGCGAAAAAGGAAAAGAAAAAGAUCUCAAGUUGUGAGAGUUUGCGCAGGGCAAUUUU
rnacentral:lncRNA from 1 species